rnacentral:lncRNA from 1 species
CGCCGGUCCAACCGGCUAGAAUGUUGACCCCUGGAGCUAUAAAAUCCGGUUUGAGAAUGUUGGGCGUGAGAGCGUUGGGUCCUCUGGAGCUGAAAGCCGCCACCACCGGAGAAGGUUUAACCUCCAAUUGGGUCCCUAAGAAAGCAAUCUUAGCGGUGGGAUUAGCCGAAGAAGAAGCGUAACUCUUGAGAAUCUGGCUUGAUUUUUGACCCAGCGAUGCAGCAGGAAGAAGAUGAGGGUCUGUAACUAACUCUUCCCCAAAAGCUUCAUUGUUGGCCAAAAUCAUUCCAGCACCACCCGCAAGCUUAACCACCAAACCCUUCUCCACUCUCGGAUUUCCCCCUCUCUCGCAUAUCACAAUCUUCCCUGAAACCUUCUCAGGAAUGAGAGAGUCUUGCAGGCAAAGAUACCCAACAGAAGAGUUACUCGCGUUGCCGGCGUAAACGAGAGGAAGCGGAGAAUCCAAAACCGGUUUACCGUUAUAAAGCGACGCUCCGGCGUAGGUUUUUCCAUUUCCGAGGGUUAUGAGAGCAGGGAAAUCGCGGUCUAAAGUUCCCGCUCCCACUGUGGUUACCCACGGCGACACGUUGGAUAACGUUGAUGAACUGGGCCCAGCGUUACCUGCUGACAUGGAAACCAAAAUCCCAUGUGACGUGGCAGUGAAGGAACCAAUCGCGAUUAUGUCUCUGUAAUACUCCGUCAAGCUUCCCCCAAUCGACAUCGAUAAAACGUUCACGCCGUCUUCUAUGGCCUUGUCGAUCCCCGCAGCUAUGUCGGAAGAAAAACACCCACCGAGCCAGCACACUUUGUAAGCCGCCACGCGCGCCUGCGCCGCCAUUCCGCGCGCCGUGCCUGACGCCAAACCGAAUAAGCUAGCUUCGGGAACCACCGAACCUGCAGCUGUGGUGAGCGUGUGACUCCCAUGCCCCUCGUCGUCUCUCGCUGACUUUGACUCCGUACUCAAGUCAACAGGUCCAAGAGCGGACUCGUAGCCUUUGGAGAAAAACCUGGCACCCACGAGUUUUCUGUUGCAGUGUGAGGAGUUCAUGUUGUUGCCAACUUCACACUCGCCUUUCCACGUGGCGGGCACCGGGCCCAGGCCCGUGUCGUCGAGGCUCUUCAGCUCGGGCCAAACCCCGGUGUCAAGGACUCCGAUGAUGACCUGGCUCUGUUGCUCGGACGCGGGUAGGAGCGUGGUGCUUUGGUCGAGCCCCAGGAACUGCGGUGUUCUUGUGGUGUGGAGUUUGUAUCGAUGUUCUGGGGUCACUGAGAGGAUUCCCGGUUGGUUCGCGAGUGUCUCUGCUUCUUUGGGUGUGAGCCUGGUGGAGAAGCCGUGAGCCACAUGUUUGUAGGUGUAGAGGAUCUCUGCGGAGGCUGAAACUGAUUUGAGGGAGGAGUCGAACCAGUUAAGGUGGUCGGAGAAAGUUGAGGGCAUGGUGGACUUGUCCAUGUGGAUUAUGUAGGUCUUUUUGGCAAGGAAUUGUGUCUGUUUUUCUUCUGCUGUGGUGUUGCCACUGCUAAAGAGGGUUGUGAGAAGCAGCAGAAGAAGAAGAAGGGUUUGCAGGGACUUCAGAGUGAGCUGCUUCAUUGCUCUGUUUGUGGUUGUUUUGCUGAAUUGUGGGGUUGUGUUGGGUUUGAUUCAGGGAUUUGUGAGGUAUUUAUUGUUGAGUUCAAGAUAUGGUAACGCUUGAAUUUGAGCAUAUGGAUAGAGAUUGUUUCACUGCCAUAAGAAUAUAAGAGUUUAUAAAAACAAUAACAAAUUAUUUUCUGUUACUUUAUUAAAUGUCCCUCCAUCUUUUUUUGGUGUCUCAAUUUCACUUUUCUUUUUCUCACACUGCACAACAUGCUUAUUAAGAGGUGCGAAAAUUGGUUGAGAAGAUGCAAAUCUCUUUGUACCUCUCUGUUUUCAAUCGUAUAACCUGUUAAAUCUAUCUUUUUUCCAUGGUUUUUUCCUUCUAUUCUGAAGCACUCAAAAUGGGGUAGAUUGAGAUAUAUUAUUCUCCAUAAUUUUUUUUGUUGGAAUUUAGCGUUUAUAGAAAAGUAACUGCUUUUUUAAAAAAAAAGAUUAAAAAAAGCAAGUUAGUUCUCUCUUUUUUGAAGGAGAAACAUAGGUGCGGUGCAAAAGUCUGGACAGGUAAGGAGACAAAGUAGUUUUUCCCAUGACGUCAUCAUCGUACUUUAUUUUAAACUUUAAAAAAUUAUAUAUGUAAAACUUUAAACAAAUAUACAUGCUUUUUAUGAAAAUGAAUAGUUGAAUUACUGUCAACUCACCACUAAAAAGAAUUUCUACAGGAUCGAAAUUCUCUUCUUUAUUUAAAAAGAAAAAGUCUUUAACUCAGAAAAAAAAAAAUUUAACAACAAAUUAUGUCUUUCUUACUCUUUAGUCUAGCAAUGAUACAUAUAUUUAAGAUAAGAAAACACAUAUCUAUAUAUUAUAUAAAUUGAUAAUAAAUAUUUAUCUGUAAAAGUAUAUUUUAUAUUUUUUUAAACAUGAAGUUUUUUUCAUGAUUAAUUCAAAAGAAUUUGAUUUUUUUUUAUAGUUAUAAUAAAAAAUUAUACAAUAAAUUUAAGUUUUUCAAAUAUUAUUAUAUUUAUCAUUUUUAAAAUUAUGUGAGAACCAUGUUAAAAUUUUCAGAAAUCCAACAAAUAUUUUGUAAAUUAAACACUUCACCGAUAAAUAUCCUACAAGUGUCGUACGAAUAUUUACACAGAUACGUGUAUCAGACACGGACACACCAUUUAAAAGAAGUGUCUAAUUCAAGUAGUUAUAUUUUAAAACAUCAUUCUAGAGAUAUCUUUUAAUUGUUCUACGUGUAUAAAGUUUAAUUAAAUGUUUUUUUUAAUAAAGGCUAAAUAUAAAUUAUAUAUGAUUUAAAUGAAUUAUAAAAACUAAUAUAUACUUGAAAAACACUGAUGAGAGUAGAUUUGGAAGACAGUGAAUCUAUUUUCUUCAACACAAAUCUUUGUUAUUUUUAGUCUUAUAUUCCUUCUCUCUGUUAAAGUGUUAAUAGGAAUAUAAUAGGGAUGAUGCGAUAUUGAUUAGUCGAAAUGAGUAAAAGAAAAUUGUAUAAAAUAUUAAAAUAUAAAUUAAAAAACAAAAGGCCUUCCAUUCCAUUUUAUUUUAUUAACAAAUAUUUUAUACCUUUAUUUUUUUAUGUAAAAAUCAACGUUAUGCCACAUUUAUGUUAAUUAUUGGACAAACUUUGACACCAUACACUUAACAUUAAGAUUUAAAGAACUAUAAAGACUAAAUAUUAAAAAACCUUACAAUCAACUAAAACAGGGGUUAAGAUUACAAUUAAGAAAAAUUGUUUUGACCUCAUACUUUACUUUUUUAGAACAGUUAAUCAAUUAUAAUAAAAUCAUAGCUAUUUUUUUUAAUUGUAUAAAAUUAUUUAUUAUUCUCAUUCUUUUGAUAACGAAAUUGAAUUGGAAUUUAUUGUAACAUUAGUGUUUUAAGAUUAUAGUCGAAAUAAAUAUUUUGAAUUAAUCAUAGUAACCAUUUAAGCUUAAUUUCUUAAUUAAGUAUACUUAAUUAAGUAUACUUGUUACUUCUUAAUUAUGUUAUCUUUUUUAUCAAGUAAGUAGUUUUUUUUAUAGAUAGUUUGAUAACAUUUUGGAUAAACAGUAAAAUUCCAUUAACUUGAUAUACUUCAUAACUCAUAUUUCUCAUCUAAAGCUGAAAUUUUCUCACCUACCUGAUAAGUAUGGUUUUGUCGAGAAGUAAGUAAAAUCUAACAAAUGAUUGCUUUUAUUAAUUAUUCAUUCGAGUACUCUGUUGUGUGUGGGUUUAUCUUUUUCCUUUUUUUAUCAAACCACUUAAGAAAAUUAUGAUAAAUAGUUGGAUCAGAAUUUGAGUAAACAAUCGAAUUCUUUUAAUUUAGAUAUAUUUAUAAAAUUAUGAUAAAUAGUUGGACGACCAUUUGAAUAAAUAAUGGAAUUAUUUUAAUUUAAAUAUAUUUAUAAAUGAUAUUUUUUAGGAUUAAAUAUGUAUUUUUUUCUAGUACAUGAAUAUUUGUAAUAAGAAAAAUUAUUGAAAUGAAUUUUUACUAAUUUUUUUACUUAACUAUAUUGAAUAUUAAAAUAUUUUAUGUUUAUUUAUUGUUUAUGUAGAUAUUAUAAUAAAUAAGAAUUUGUUUGUUAUAAAAAAAAUACUAAUAAAGACUUAUUUUAAUAGUUUUUUUAUUACAAACAUUUGAAAAGUCUAAAAUUUGAACUAAAAAUAAAAAUCAAUUUUGUAUUAUAAUAUAAAAAAAUUAUUUACACUACAAUAAAAUCCUGAAAUAGAAAUCAAUUUUAGAGAUAGAAAAUAAUUAGUUGUUAUAGUGACUAAAUUAGAGACCAUUUUAGAGACUAAAAAAAUCUUUUGGUUUCUAAAUUAGGUUCUAUUAUUGUUAGAUGGUUAGUAACCAAGGUUUUUGCUACUAAAUUUAGAAUCUAAAUAAUUGGUAGUUAAAAUCUUUGUAGCUAAUUAGAUACCAAUUUAGAAACCAUUUAACAAUAAUAUAAACUAAUUUAGAAACCAAUUUUUUUUUAGUUUCUAAAAUGGUCUCUAAUUUAGUUACUAUAGCAACUAAUUAUUUUUGUCUCUAAAAUUGAUUUUUAUUUCAUGAUUUUAUCGUAAUGUUAAUUCUAUUUUUUAAUAUAUAAAAUCGGAUUUUUUUCGUCAUUUUAACACAGAGAUUACCAAUUGAACUAGUUAUAGCUUGAUUUUGUAACAAAAGAAAAAGACAAUGAUUAGAGAUAGAAAAAAAUAUGUCGAUAUCUAGCAGUGAUUGAGACUUAGGUCUCACUUGGUGGAUAUUAAUUAUGUAAAUGGUUAGCAAUAAUUAUAAAUAAUAAUCUGAGCUGUAUAUUCUUCCAUGAAGCUUUUGGAGAAAGAAAUUGAAGAGGUGGCGUCCAAUGAAUGAGAAAUGAAAACACAAGAUUCUUCUUCUUUUUGACAACUCUGGUCAGGUCGGUUGUGUCAAUUUCAGAUUAUAAGUCCCUUUCAUUUAUUUAGCUGGUGAAGAUAACAAGGAUUAAGACAAACACUAAUUAUCUGAUGUAAGCAUUUUCUACCAACCAUCCACUGAUUUCACACACAAAAAAGAAGAUUUCGAUAUAUUUUAAAAUACCUUUUCUAAUAACAAAAUAGUGAAUAAAACUUUCAUCUUUUUUAUAAACUUUCAAACAAACUUUCAUAUCAAAUUAUUGUAAUAAGGAUUUGACAAGUGUUUGGUUACACUUGAGGAUGAACUUCUUAAUACUCUAGUUGGAAACAUAUAAGUAAGCAUAAAUGAAAAACAAACCUCUUAUACAACACUACACGAAAAUCAUGAAAUAAAAAUUAAUUUUAGAGAUAAAAAUUAUUUAGUUGCUAUAGUAACUAAAUUAGAUACCAUUUUAGAGACUAAAUAAUUUUUUAGUUUCUAAAUUAGUUUUUAUUAUUGUUAAAUGAUUUCUAAAUAGGUAUCUAAUUGUAAAUCAAUGUUUUUGCUACCAAAUUUAGGAACUAAAUAAUUGGUAGUUAAAACCUUGAUUGCUAAUUAGAUACCAAUUUAGAAACUAUUAAACAAUAAUAAAAACUAAUUUAGAAACCAAUUUUUUUUUUUAGUUUCUAAUAUGGUCUUUACUAUUGCAACUAAUUAUUUUGGUCUUUAAAAAUUAGUUUCUAUUUGAUAGUUUUCUUGUAGGAAAAGGGUGGGUAAGCCAAUAUUGUUGUCAUAUUUUGAACAUAUAUUUUAAGUAUUAGUAUAUUUCUUUUAUAAAAAAAUAUACAUAUGAGAAAUAUACUUUUUAAUUAUUGUAAUUAUAUUUUACAUCCAUCUAAUAUUUUCAUCCUUUCUUUUAGCUAUAUAUUACUUUAAUAAUUAUAGUAUAAGUUUUUUCUACCCACAUUAAUUAUAAAAAAUAAUAUUUAAUACAUUCUAAAAAAUAUUAAAAAUUAAUUUAAAGAUAAAAAAAUAAUUAAUUAUUAUAUUGACUAAGUCAAAUACUAUUCUAUAAAAUAAAAAAUUAUUGAUAUUUAAAAUAAUUUUUAUUAUUAAUAACUUUUUUUUUAAAAUUUAAAAUUUAAUACUAAUUUAAAAAUUAUUUUAUAAUUUUUUAUUAAUAAUACAAAUUAUUUUAUAUACCAAUAAUUUUUUUAAUUUAUAAAGCACUAUUUAACUGUUAAUAAUAUGAUAAUUAAUUAUUUUUAGUUUUUUAAAUUAGUUGAUAUUUAAUGAUUUUGUGGUAGUGAUAAUUCAUAUUAAAAACUUAUAAAUUUAGAAUUUUUAAAAUUAAAAUGACCAUAAGUUUUUAGAUGAAGGUGGUGUGAGAGUGUUGAUAAAUAAUGUUAAUUUAGAGAAGAAAAUGGAGAAAGCAGAAAAAUGGUUUAAUGAUUGAUAAUAGAGACGUAUGAGAGAGAGUUUGUAAAGUUGUGUUAAUUAGCUGGAGAGGACCUACUUCUUAUUAAUGCUAAACACGUAGGUUAAGCAAUCUCCUAUCUAUACUUAAUGUUUUGAUUAAACAAUUCGACACUUUUGACUACUCAAACACUUCACCAAUAAUUCAUACCCAAACAAUAAUCUACUUACUUAUGUGGCUAUGCUUCACAAAUAGCUCAAGUUAAUUUUUUUAUUCGUAUCAAUGUCCUAGGAUAAUUAAUUAAAAGUGUACUUUUUUUUUUCGAAAUUAAGUUGUAAAAUAUAUCGUUUAAUGGAAGACAUUUUUCAAUGAAAAUCAUUUUCAGUUUAGAAUCCUAAAAUGUAAGUGAGCAUUUGUCUUAAUUUAGUUUAGAUUUAAAUGUUCUUUACAUCAUUCUUUUUUAAAUUUUAGAUAGUGUGAUGGUUGUCAAUGAAAUCAUUAAUGAGGUUAGGAGAAGGAAGGAGGAGUGUGUUAUCUUAAAAGUAGACUUUGAAAAGAUGUAGGAUUUAGUUAAUUGAAAUUUCCUAAUAUAUAUGAUGGGUACACUAGGUUUCUGUUCUAAGUGGACCCGAUGAAUAAAGGGGUGUUUGAAGUCUUCUUACGUGUUUUUUUAGUUAAUGGAAGUCCUACAGAUGAAUUUAGGUUAGAAAAUUUUAAUAUAAACAUAUUAGAGUUGUUGAGAAUCUUAAAUCAUAAGAAGAAGGUAGUAUAAACUUUUAUUCCUUUCAAUAAUAAAAAAUACUUUAAAAAAGUUAUUAACAAGUUUGGAAUGAUAAAGUUGAAAUCUAUUUUCAAGCUCGAACAUUAUAAGUUAAGUGAUAGAUAGUCUCCUCGUAUGAUGGAAUACCAAUAUUAUAUGAAUUCAAUUGUAUAUGCAAGUAUUGUUAGUUAUGUGAUGUAUGCAUGAUUUACACUCAUCUUGACGUAUUGUAUGUUGUGAGUGUUGAUGGCAUUUUCAUGUUAAAUUUUGGACAAAUUUAUUUAUUGUUUGUUAAGUGGAUCCUAAAGUACCUGAAUGAAUACUUGGUACUAUUCUAGUUUACGGUGGAGUUGAAGGAAGACGAAAUAUGUUGUCAUAAAAAAAAUUGUAAACUGGAAUUAUGUUGGGUGUUUGGACACCAAAAUAUCUUUCACGGAAGAGUGUUUACUACGUUUGUGUUUAUAACAUAUGGUACAAUAAUUAGUUGGAAUACUAGUCUAUAAAAGGAGUGAGGUUUUGUCAAUGGUUGAGACUAAGUAUAUUGUCAUGAUAAAAGUCGUGAAGGAAAAAUUAUGGUUGAAAGGAAUAACUAUAGUUGAAAGGAAAUAAUUGGAAAGUUGAGAGUUCCAAACCAAGUUAUUGUCGUCUACUAUAAUAACAACAUAUUCAUAUAAUUUCUAAAUAACUAAGUUUACCAUGAAAGAAUAAAAUACACUAAUAUCAAGUUGUAAUUUUGUAAGACAGGGGAUUCCACAAGGGUUCGUUUUAACAUAUUAUAAAGUUUUACCAAACAGCAACUUCUUUCACUAUUUGAAUUUGUAUAAUAUUAUUUAUGAACAAGUGAAAAUUUGUUGAUAUUAACUCAAUAAAUAAGUUUGUAUUAACCCUAAACCCUAAACUUGAUCUAAUUACACAAGAUUUUGAUAUUUUAUUAUUUUAUUUUAGUUCUUUAAACCUUUUUUUCAUUUUAAUCCUUAUAAUAUUUUGUUUAUUUUGAAUUAGUCUUUUAUUAAAAAGAUUUAGUAGGGAUUAAAAGCAAAUGAUCUGCAUAGGGCUUACAAAAUAACAAAGAUGAUAACGAGAAAAAUUUACAAGAAUCAAAGGUUAAACAAAAACAUUAGUUAAUAAAAUAAAACAUGAUUUAUAUUUUGGGAACUAAAAACACAUUAUUUUUAAAAUUACAUUUCAAUAUAUAUAAAAUUUGUAAUAGAAUGAAUUUAAACAUGUAGCCCAAUUUCAUGUAAUAAUUUUUUAAAAAAGUAUUGAAUUUAAAAAUGCAAACUUUCGCCUGUGCAUUACACUUUUCUCACUUUAAGUAUAGGAAAAAGUUUAUUUUGACAGUGAAACAGUAAAUAGAUACAUUUGAAAAACAAUUAUAAUAAUGCAUAUAAUUAAAAUAAUAAUUUAUUAGUAUCAUCGAGUUGGUUCGAUAAUAUUGAAGGUGUCUUUUUUAUUUAUAUAUUUUGGAAAUAAAUAAAUAAAAAACUAUGUGAGCUCAAGCCAUCUACGUGAACAACCAACAAGUUUUUUUAACAUGGAUAGUAAUAUUUUGAUAUCUACCAAAUAAAAAAAAGUUCAUUUGACAAUUUAAAAUAUUUUUUUUUAAUUUAAAUUUUUAACAUAUAUUAUUGUGUUAUUAAAGUUUUUAUAAAGUGGAUAUAAUUUUUUGAAGGAGUUUCAAACUAAUACUUUAGUUUCUACACACUGUAAUGUUGAUUUUAUUGGAGGUCAACAUCAUUAAAAAAUGAAGCAGUGAUUAAUGAGAAUGAUGUGAACACUUAGACCAUUCUCCCCUCAUCAUUUCAUAUCUCUUUCUAAAUGGUCAAUUGUUGUCGAACCAGUCUCAAUCAUAAACAGUUUCAGAGAAAAUGAUAAAAAAGAACUAAGCAUUCAAUUAAUUUAUGAUAAUUUCUUUACGACAAUCAAUUUUAAGACACGAACACAUCCAUAAUAGAAAAUGACUUAGAUGUUUCAUAUGUCACUCACUUUAUGGAUAAGCCUAUACCGGCAGAGAAUACAAAUUCUAAAACUAACUAUUUUUUUUUUAAAUAUUUAUGUUGUUAGACAGUCUAGAAAUAACCAUUUUUUUUACCUGCAAAUUUCUCAGUUUUUUAUUCGAUUUUGGACUUUCCGCUACAUAGUUGAUUGAUUUGGGUUUGUAAUUGGAUAUAAAUGGUAGAAUUUUGGAAUUUGGUUGGAUUAACUAGAACUUCCAGUCUUUGAUCUCAGUGAGUAUACUUGUAAAGAGCUCUGAUGAUAAAAUCUCACUCAAUUCUAGUUAAUUAUACGAUAAAAUUAACUAUAUUUACCUCUUGGGUUGAUCACCUAUUUAUAGUAUUUUCUUAUUGGGUUUUAGACCCAAUUGAAUAUUUACUUUGUGGACCUUGUAUAUAUUAAACAUAUUGUCUUUAUUUGAGUCUAUUCAAUGGAUUUUGCUACAAUAUUUUACUAUUUAAUUAUUUAUUUAUUUCUGUUUAAUAUUUAAUCUUAUUUUCAACAUUUUGCCCAUUCGACCCAAACCUUUCAUCUUUUGACCAUUCACCCUAAACAGUACAAGUUAUAUUGAGAUUCAAAGGUAUUAAUAUAUUAUCUCAAAUUUCACAUUAGUUUAAAACCAAAAGACUAAUCAAUGCUAAAGAUUAAAAAAUAUCGACAUUUCGUUGUAUAUAAGUAAAUGUAAAUUUUACUUUAUAAUUUAAAGUUUUAUAAAGUUGAUUUAAAUUUAAAAUUCAAAAGUUGAUAGGUCUCAAAAUGAAAUAUGUGUAUGUUAAAGAUUAACACUGACACACAUUAAUUAGAGAUAAUAACAUUUUAUUGUAUAUAGUGGGUGUAAAAGUCAUUUUAUCUUAUAAACUCUGAUAUUAUAAGAUUGAGUUAUACUUAAAGUUGACAUUUUAAUAAAUAAAUUUCUUAUAUAAUUUAAAAAAUUAUAAAAAGAUGAAGGUUAUAAUUUUUACCAUGAAAAAGAAAAAAAAAGGAUUAAUAAUAUAUGCAUAAAGGUCAUUUACAUAUCAUUCAACUUUUAAAGAAAGUUUUCAAUCACAAUUUUGGUUGCAUGAUUCACACUAAUAAUACUAAUAAUAAUUUCUGAUUAAUUGAUAUACAGAGAAUAUAUUGUUAUCAAACUAAAAGUUAAAUAAAGCUUUUAUUGAUUACUAAGAUGACUAGGAAAACAAAUUACAUAAUAUUCCAUUACUGACAAAAACAGGUUUGAAAAUAACUCCCACUCGUGUAUAUAUAUCCAAUCAACCAUAAUAAUUUGCAUGACUUUUCAACAACUCAUUUUCAGACCAUUCCAAACAAAACUAUUAAAAAUGUCAAACAAAUUUAACUACGCAUAAAGGAACAGUAGUUCAAAUCUGAAAAUAUGUGAUUCACCAUAUCUCAAUUCUCAAAUACUAUAUAUGUUCCUGCUAGGGAGAUGAGACCUAGAGAACUGUUGAAGUCUUCUUCUCCUUUCUUCGGUCGGGCAGGUGGCUGAGUGAUGAACUGGGAUCCUUCUCUUCCUUCUGCUUACCUUUCGGCACUCGGGACUCGGUCGUCGGGUGAACACCGGAUGGUGGGGGUACCUGCGAAGGCACUCCGACGCUCAAGUCAGUAAAGCGGGUGGUUAGCUCUCAGGUAGGUGAACAGUAAUAAUGACAUACCUUACUCCUUGAAAUGCGUGCUAUUUAUAUUAUUCUAGUGGGCCUACCUUGUUGGGCCCGUUUAUCGAGGUGGAUACCGCUUAGGGUUGCAUUACCUAAUUCUUGAUGAUGGAUUAACUUCACUGAUCUCGGUCUGAGCGUUAAUUGUAAUGGGGUUCGGCCAUCAGCCAAAUUCCCACGGUGCGGGUCUGCCAUCGGCCAAAUCCCUGUGGUUUUUGGCGGUUUCGGCCAAGCCUUCUAAGGUCUCGGCCUCUCGGCAUAAGUCUUCAAAGGCUGCGGCCUCUCGGCACAAGUCUUCAAAGGCUUCGGCCUCUCGGCACAAGUCUUCAAAGGUUUCGGCCCACGGCCGGUCGGCCAAGUCUUCAAAGGUUUCGGCCUCUCGGCACAAGUCUUCAAAGGCUUCGGCCUCUCGGCACAAGUCUUCAAAGGUUUCGGCCCACGGCCGGUCGGCCAAGUCUUCAAAGGUCUUGGCCAGGUUCUCAUGGUCUCGGUCAGGCUGACACGGCAUCGGGCAGCCGGGUGGGUCCCGAUCUCUCCCCGUACCGGUACAAUAUAUAUUCUUAAAAAAAUUAUUAAAUAAAAUUCAAAUUUAAAUUGAAAAAUAAAUAAAUAAAUAAUUAAAUUAAAUAUUAUUUUAAAAAUUAAAUAUAUUAUUAAUAAAAAAUCAUAAAAUAAUUUUAAAAUUCACAUCUAAAUUAGUUAUCAAAGUUUUAUCCACUAAUAUUUUAGACUAUAAAUUAGUUUUUAAGAGAUUAAUAGAAACUAAUUUAGAAUAUGAAUAAUUAGUAGAUAAAAUCUUAUAGCUAAUGAUUAGAUAUUAAUUUAAUUUUUUUUUAUAAUAUUUUUAAAUAUUAAUAAAUUUUUUAAUUUAUAAAAUAAUUAUUAAUUUAAUUAAUAUAGUGACUAAUUAUUUUAGUCUUUUAAAUUAAUAAAUAAAUACUAAAAAUUAAUUAUAUUUAUAAAUAUUAAUAUCUAAACAUAAGUCGAUAUUAAAUAUUGGACUGUUUAGUUUAUUAUAAUGUUAUUUCGAGAUGUUAGAAUUUGCUUUCUUUUUUAUAUGUAAAAAUUAGAAAGCAUUAUCAUCGAAUAUCUCGUAUUAAAGUGCUAAAUAUAUGGUAGUUAAUACGUCACAUAGACAAAAAGGAAAUGGACAAAAACCAUUUUGAACCACUAAUACAAAUGGUGUUUUGUGAGGACCUUGUUUUUUACAGAAUUGACAUGGAACAAAGCUUAAAAAUUCAUUUGACACUUAAAAAACUUAUUAUUUUAUUAUAAUAUAAUAUUUUACUCAAAAAAAUAUUGUAAAAUUUACAGUUAGAGUGUUAAAAAAACUUUAAUAUAUGAAUUAAAUAGAAUGGAAAAGUAUUUAUUUAAGAUGCGAUAUGAAUAAUAUUCUAUGCAUAAAGACCCUUGCACAGUUCACAUAUUAUACAGUAUUUUGGAGUGAUAGAACUGAAUUAUAAAUUGAGGACAAAAGUUUGAUUCGACAGAAAGGUAUGAUGACAGGGACAACCCCAGAGGAUAAACGAAUAUAAAGUACCUCCACCUUUUUUGGAGUUAUAAAUUUCUAAAAGAUUAAAUAUGCUAUCCAUACAAAUUUAAAUUUAUAAAGGUGAAAAAAUAAAAUGAUAGAUGUUCCUAUCUUAAAUCUAUUAAAUCUGAAUCCUGCAUUUGAGAUAUUGUAAAAACGUUUUAAAUUAAUUAAAAAAUAAAUGUGUAUUUAAAUGAUUAUUGAUCUCAAUUUUAAACAAAUAUGAUACUAUCAUUACAAGAAAAUAAAAUCCAUAAUAAUUAGUUACAAUAAUAAUUAAAUUAGAGACUAUUUUAGAAACUAACAAAAAAUAUUAAUUUCUAAAUUAAUUUAUAUUAUAAUUAAAUAAUUUUUAAAUUAGUAUCUAAUUAACAAAUAAGGUUUUAAAAAUCAAAUUUAAAAACUAAAUAAUUAGUAGGUAAAAUCUUGAUUGAUAAUUAGAUACCAAUUUAGUUACUAUUACAACUAAUUAUUUUAGUUUCUAAGUAUUUUAGUUUCUAAGUAGUAUAUAUUUUGACAUUACCAAAACCAAAACACUCGAUAUUUUUUAAGAUAAUAAAUUCACAGUGGAGAUUAUGCAGAAAUAACACUGGUAAAGAGUUUCAAAAUACCAUGAACAAAGCACUUGAAAGAAUUAGUAAGUGUGGAUCACCUCAAAAUAUUUAGACCACAUGUUUUUUUUAUAUGUUGAUUAUUACAAUAAUAAUUGAUGUCGAAGAUUAAAUAUUCACUAUGAUUAAUAAUGAUUAAUGAAAAAAUAUUGAAAGUCCGUUUGCCUCUUGAAAAAUAAAAUAAAUCUUGAAAAAUAAAAUAAAAAUGUUAAUGUGUCUACUGAGAAAUUUUUGUAUUUCAAAAAAUUAAUUCUAUAAUAUUUUGAAUUACGUAAUUUGAUUUUUUUUUAAAUUUAUAAUUAGUUAAUUUUUGGAUUAACUAAUUCAGAAGUCUUGAGAUUAGUUUCUGAACUAUAUAAUCUAAAAACAUUUUUUUUCAUAUACUUAUUAAUUUAUGAAUUAUAUAAUCCGAAAGUCUUUUCUAGAUUUGAAAAUAUCUUAUAAAUUAUGUAUCUAGAAAAGAUUUUUGGAUUUUGUAAUUCAGAAUACAAAUUUUUUAAAAAAAUAUUUCAGAUUACAUAAUUUGUACGUUAUUUUUGAAUCCGAAAUUAACUUUUGAAUUAUGUAAUCCAUAAUAUAAGAUUAACUUUUGGAUUAUGUAAUCCAUAAUACGUGUACUUUUUUUAAAUUGUUUCCGAAUUUUAUAAAUUUAUGUGAGUGACACAAUAAGAAUAAAAAUGUAUUUUCAUGUUUUAUAUGGGGUGGUACAAGAAUAUAUGGAGGUGCAGGAAGAAGCUUGCAUUAAAUGCAUGGUUGGUUUUUUUUGGGAACAAAAAGGCCCAAACUUCAUUGCUGAAAAGUGUGGACUGCUGCAACAGUAUACGUCAGGAAAGUCCCUGCUGAGUUAAUAUACUUUUAGUUCAUGAAAUUUGAAAUAGAUUUGUUUAUUUUGUCUUCUAUAUUUUUAAAAAAUUUAUUUGAAAAAGUUAUUUUAACCCGUCUAUCCGGUUAAUGACUUCACUUAAAUAUCUAAUAAUUUAUAAAUUAGCAAUAUAAUGCUCUAUUUUGACUUUACAUACUUAUUAUAAAAUAUUUUAUCGUUUUACUUUUUUUUUCUACGUGUUUAUUUUGAUCAUGUUUUAAGAAAAAAUUGUUUGAAAAAAGUUCAAAUUACUAAAAAUAAAAUAAUUCUAAAUCCGAAAGACAAAAAAUAAAUUUACUCCAAAUUUAAAGAAUUAAAACAUAUUUAAACAUGAUUUGUUAUCGGUAAAACAUAUUAUUUCUUUAAAAUGUUAAUUUGAAUCCCAAAAUAAGUUGAAUAUUUUUUUUUUAAUUCUUACACUUAAAACAAAAACAUGUUUAGAAACAUUUCACCGAUACCUUUAUUUAUUUAUUUGUUAUUAUUAUUAUUAAAUAAUAAUAAUACCUAUAAGUAAAUUACAGAAAUAUUGCGUGAAAUUCUUUCAAACAUUGACCGCGCAUUUUUGUUUUGUUUUAAAAUCUACAUAAAUCUAUUUUAUUCUAAAAAUAUUACACUUACCCGCUUUAAAAAUAUUACAUUUGCACCCUUUUAAAUUUUAGAACAUUACACAUACACUCUCAAGAAAAAUUAUUGAAAUAAAAAAAAGUAAAAGAUGUAAAGAGUAUUUCUUUCAAAAUGAAUUUCUAGAAAUUACAUUGUGAAAAAUAUUAUAACCGGAAUAUUAUUCUCAAGUGUAUAUAAAAAAGAGUUUAGUUACCUUUUUAUGUUUCUAGCAAUACUUUUUAAAUUUUAAAAUAAUUAAAAUAACAAAUAAAGUUAAAAUGUAAGUUAUUGUAGAGUUAGAAAACAAUUUUCCAUGUUUACAAUAAAAUGUAAUUUUGUUCAUGGAAAUAUAAACUUUAUAGACACGGAACUAUAACUUUUCUAAGAGUAAAAGAUGUUCCAGAUUUUUCUUUUGAAAAAUUUCUAAUAAAGAUGACAAAGAUUAUUUUCACUUUGAUAUUCAUGAAAAUGUUAAACAUUCGUGCAAAAAAAAAGUUGCUAAGAAUAAAAAACUAUAAACUAAAACUAAAGAACAUAUUUUCCUGUUUCUUCAUUCAGUGACAGACUUCAAUAGCAUGUAGAACUACAAAUAGUAGAUUGAAGGAUAGUUUGGGUACAAAUAUAAGUUACUUAUUAGACAUUACAACUAAUACUAUAUAUGGUUUGUGAAAUUGAGUUAUUUCAGCAGAUAGCAUAACAACAUAUCUAGUUAUGAAUGCCAGGGGAGGGACAUCAUGUAUGAAUAGUUAUUAACACACAUUUAUUUAUGUACAAAAAAUAUAUUAACAACUUCACAUUGAAGAACAAUAGAACACAUCAUGAUCAACAAAUAAUUUAAGGAGCAAAGGAGAAAAGAAACAGGCCAAUAAUCUCUGUACUUGGAAACAGACUUAUAUACUUGGAAUCAGUCUUCUUUUGGCGAGGGAAAUUAGCAGAGAAAUGCUAUCAUUUGUCAACCUGAAAAAGUUUGCAUGCGAAGCUAACUUAUGUCUGUACAAUCUACUCACCAAUUUCAAGUACUGAAAUAAUUCUGACUAUGACAUAUAGAAGUGUAGAUGGUAAUAUGGCAUCGAAAUUUAUAUAUUAUAAAUUUAUUUUAUCUUUUUACUAACGUGAAUCUCCAACAAAAAGAGUUAAACCAGUUUCCGAUCCCAUCCCAAUAUCAUGCCUAAUUCUAGUUGUUUGCAGUUUUUGUGAACUAAUUCAGGUAGAAACCAAAGAAUGACACAGUAAGAGCAGGGAAGUGACACGAGUAAAUCAUACAACAAUGAUAUCCCACAUUUACAAGAUGAAUAACAGUCUCCAACUAAUUUGCCUUAUUAAUUUUUUCUUCUAGUAUUUUGUGUGAUGUAGCUCCUCAUUUUAGAGAAAGUGUGAUAACUAAUUAGACGGAAUGAAAAUAACAUGAAGUGUGAAUGGUUUAAAUUUUUUAUCUAAGCUAUUAUUCAUUAUUAGUCAAUGUAGAAUUGUGAAUGAUUUUAAAAUCUUACAUUGUUAUUUAAAUCUGACUCUGCAAGUGGGCUACGCUCGGAAUCAGACUCUUGUUCAAGUUCCCUGAAAGAGAGAUGAAACCAUCAUAAAAUAAAAUAUACCAACAAAACCAUCAUAAAACAAAAUAUACCAACAAAACCAUCAUAAAGUCAACAAGAUCAGAGAUAUGAAUAACAAAAAGUAUGUUUAUAAGCUACCUAUUAGUUAAGAUCAGUUGUCGAUGAGACAGAGUUGUGCUCAAAUCAGAAGCAGCAGACUCCGAAACUUCAGGCUUUGUGGGUUCAUGUUCACUCAUUCCCUGCAAAAGGGUUGCUUCAAUUCUAUUGCUCGUGAGUUAAGAUAUUAAAGCAUAAUAAGUCUCAAAAGCACAAACUCACAGUUAAAGUAUCUUUCAUCCAUUCAGGAAAUUUAUUCGAAAGAAGGCUGAUAUACUGCUCCAUUGCAACCUCUGGAUUCAUGUUCCCCAGCUUUUGCCAAGCAUUCCUUGCACAACGGAAUCAGUACUGUCGAUCACUUAUAAAAAGCAGCUCUCAACCCUGUUAUUAUAACUAGCAAUCAAGCUAUACCAUGUAACUUGUACAACACGGUUGCAUGUGUUGUUUAAAUUGAUUUAUCAUGUUAGAGUGUUUGACACAUUUUUUCUUUCCCUCUUGAUUGCUAAUUCUUAUGUCUUUUGCGCUAUAUUUAAAUUGAUAGAAAAUGAUGAAUGGAGGAAAUUGGAUUGUAAUGGACCUACUGGUAUUAUAUUUCAUUAUUUAAAUUGGUAAUCUUAUCCAUCUCAUUCCAUUAUUUGCUUUCACUUUUUUCUUGGGAGGAAUAAGAUGAAGUGAGAAAUUUGUUUUGUUCCUCUACAAUCUAUCCAUAGAAUGAAAUGAAAGUUUUAUUCCAAUAUAUUCUUUUUUUACUCCAUUCCAUUUCAUUCCAUCCAUCCAAAUAUUAGUAUGACAAAGACGGUGUUACCUAAUCAAAUGUACCAGGACCACUGUGUGUUUACUUUAGCUGACAAUAUCAUGAUCUAACACAAAUUGGGCUUUGCUUGUUGUACUGUGAGGGAGUGAUUCAAAUCCACAUUGACAGCUCAUUCAUUCAUAAGGGGAUGUUGAUCGAUUCCCAUUCUUAAAUAACGUUAGUCAGAGUAUAGACUAAAAGAACACUUUAAUUAUUAAUACAAAAGGCAAAUUAUACACCCAAUUAGGUAAUUUCUGAGCAGCGGAAAGAAUUAGUAUCUUUCUUACCACUCAAAAACAUCUUGAUGGUCACAAAAAGAAAAAUAGACAAGCUGUCUUCCUAACAUAAAAAAUGAAUUCUAUAUCUAAUAUCGGCAAAGUCUAAAAAUUACAUCUGUAUCCAACCACACACUCUGUCAUUGUAUAAUUUUUUAUGUGCAUCAAGAUAAUUGAUACAAUUUCUUAAUUGCACCAAUCAAGAUUUUUGUUGACUAUGUUACUGAUGAGAAUGUCGGUGACUGAUCUCUAAAAAAAUUAGCUAGAUACUACUUUUUUAGCCCAUAAUGUUUCAAGCAGAAACCCAGUUAUCAUUUAUUAUACGGUUGUUUAAACACAUUUCACUGGGAUACGUUAGACACAAAAUCAAAUCUUAACUAUUACUUCAAACAACAACAGUAGAGUAACAAACAAGGCAAAGCAAGUUAGGCAAUUCAACAAAUAAGGCAAAACAACAUCACACGAAGCAUUAAUUGGCAACAUUGAAAAAAAAAGGAGUACGUAAGUUGAAAUUUGAUACCACUUGGCACGUGCAGAGAGCUUGAGAGGCAUUGGCUGAGGUUCACGGCAAGGUCCUUCCGUCGCAACCUUGUGAAGCCCGUACAACUCCAUUUUCACGUUGCUUCCAACACUCUCCAAUCGAUCACACUCGUGAGUAACAAAUUCCGUAGCCGCCAUAAACUCUUUCUCCAGCUCACUCCUCUCAAUCCCUUCCCAAUCAUCAUCCUCAUCAUCGUAAUAAUUCUCUUUCACGCCGUUUUCUACAGUAGAAACUUCAAUUUCAGUGCAAGAAUCUUCAACACUUUCCACGUCCCUCUUCUCAUCAAACUCUCGUGUUUCUCCCUCGUUCGCCUCAGCGAUUUCCUCUUUAACGGCAAUGUCAGAGCGUGAUUUUAACGGCGACUCGAGAACAACGUUGGAACCGAAUUCCAUCACAACCUCUUCUACCUUGCGUUCGCUUCCUACACACGUGGCAGCUUGAACAGGACUUAAAACCGUGCUCUCGCUUGGAAAAACAGGUUCGACCAUAGACUCUUCUAUCUGGCGUUCAAUAUCUGAUGACGCGGCAGCUUGAACCGGACUAAUACAACCGAUCGUGUCCUUGCUUUCAGCGGCCUGAACCGGUGGAACCGGUUCGACCGUAGCUUCUUCACAUUCGAUUUCUACACUCUUAGUUUGAGCGGGGUGAACCGUGAACAGUUUCCGAUGAGGAAGCGGUUCGACCGUGGCCGUUUCUACGCUGUAUUCUGUUACAGCGUGAACCGGACUAAUGAAACGGAGCUUGCUAUUGCUCGGAGCGCGCUGAACCAUGAAGCGUUCCGCAAGAGAAACUGGAGGCAGCGGUUGAAGAUCGACGUGACGUUUUGGUGCGGCGUGAGUGUGGUUGAUGGCCUCGAGGAGCUUCAAGACGAUGAAAGUGAGAAGAAGCGCGAGAGAGGCUGUGACAAAAAAAUCAUCCACCACGGUUAGAAGCUCCAUCACAGUGCUCUGGUUUUUGUUGUUUCUAGUUGAAGGAGUAAGGGUUUAAGUAAAGGAUUAUGAUCGGGUGAAAAGGUGGUUGUGUUUGGAGAAAAAUAAUGAGAGAAUUUAGGAAGGAAUUGAUAAGAAGGAAGGAACUGAAAAAAAAAAAGAGGAAAGGAUAAUCUGAGAAACAGCGCAAAGCAUAUUCUGCGCUUAUUUUACUUUAUGCUUUGGCUACCAAAUUUCAAUUUCAGUUUUUUUGGGUUUGGAAAGGGUAGUGUGGGUCCCGUUGUUGCGGAGACAACGGUGAAGGGGUCACCGACGUGUAACAGAAAAAGCGUGAAAGGGUGUAUAUCCGUGACCACGUCGAUCAUGCUGACUCAUCACUCGCUGCCAUAAUCGUUAUCCAACUCCAACACACGCGAGUCAUUCCUAUUUCAUCACAAUCAACACUUCGUUUGGUGGCCCUUUAAUUCAAUUUGGUCAAAAAGUUGGUUUUUAAGGGACAUACUCGAGCACUGUUCUGAAUAUUUUGGAUGACGAAAUAAGUUAAUUCCAUCGCUGUUACGUGAUCAUUGCAGUUUCGAACACAAUGCCAUAAAAAGAAAAGUGACGAUGGGAUCUACAUAGAUAAUUUUAUAGUCAUUAUUUUUCUUAGCCGUUUAUCAAUUAAUACGGAAGGCUAUAUCGUAUUGGUAGUUACUACAUACACUAUAAUCUAUGUUUUACAAUACGAACCAAAUUUUAAUGAAAAAAAUUGAGCUAUAGCCAAUAAUUCCGGUACUAUAUCCACAAAACGAGACUAUUUACCCUUUGACUUUUAAAAUUGAGAUUGAAAUAGCAUUAUGAAUUCCCCUUGAGCAUACAAUUUCGAUUUUUGAGUUUAUUUUGUUCCCUUCCUUUCGAAUGUUUAAAAAGUUAAACGAUUGAAAGCGUUCCUCGUGUAUUUUGAAGAGCCUGCUAAAGAAUAAGGCUAAUUUCGAUGGCCUGCACUUACCAACGUAUUAUGUACACAGCUACAACAAUGGAACAAGGUGUUAGGUGUGCUGCUAUGUUAGUGGCACAACUGUAGACAUAAGCCUGCCCAAUGAGAUUUCCGUUUAAUUCCAUAAAUUUCCAAUUCUACUAAGUGACUGUACAAAACAAUACACAAAACGGAACCAAAAAACUAGGCAAAUCUAUCACUAGGAGAUCAUAUGGAUACAGGAGAAAAAUCAAAUUCAACAGGUAAAUUAUCUGGGUUAUAUGAAGUGUUUAAGUCAAACCAGAAAAUUUUAACUUGAGGGAAACCUUUCAAUUUCCGUAAUCAAGCAUGAGAUGAUGAUAAUAACUUAAUAAGCUCGGUGACAAUUAAAAAUAAACAAGAUAACCUAGGCACUUCGUUUAACCUUGUUCAACUGGGGCUUCAGAAUGAAUUUUCUCGUACAAGCGAUGUAUGAGUGGGGAUUUAGACAUCUGGGGCUCCCUCUCCAGGACUGCAAUCACAUCCUUGACAGAGAUGCUUCGAGCUACACUAGUGUGAGGGGCCAAGGCAUGACUCUUUCCAAGUUUUCUGGCCACUGUUAGAAGAAUUGAAAAGGAGAAAAAGCAAUGAAAAGUGGUCCAAACCAAUAAAAAAAAGACACCAAUUUACUUUAUUCAAACCAUCAAAGCAUUUCUCCAACAUAAUGUUUACUUGAAGCGAUUUUCUUGGCAACAUUAAUCAUUAGGUAUUCUACACACACUAUACAACAGGGGAAUCUGAAACCCUUCAGCCCAAAUAAGUGGAAAGAGUAGGAUAUUCUGCAAUCUACAUUUAGGUAUUUAUCAGAUCAGAACAUUCUCAACAAACAGUAUAGAAUAUUAUAGACAGACCAUAAUUCAAGUUUUCUGACAAUGACAGAAUCCACUUCUAUUCUACCUUAAUUUUUUUAAUCCAUAUAAUAAGAAACAGCAUUUGAAUCUUGAAUAACUAAAAUUAAUUGUACCUUGCAACUAAAAAUUAAUAAUGGAAAUAACAGAAAAGCACCUUCAAACAAACUCACCUGAACUUGCUAGAAAAGGGGUUGAACCUCUUUUCUCCCCUUCUUGGUUAUCCUUUGUACUUCUUUCAGAUGUUGAUGAAGAUUUGCGGUUCACAUCUUUAGCUGGUUGAGAACCAGAUGACGGGUCCACCCCUUCACGUUUCUGCUUGGCUUGCUCCGCCAUAAGUUGCCACUUUGACAGCAUGUCAUCUCCCCCAUAAGCAGCACGAGCAGCAACAUUGGCAGCAUUUGUCCUCAUCUUGUCAUCCUCUUCCUUGUUCACCUGCAGCAUAUUAUAAAUCAAAGAACAGAUUUCCAAUGUUUGAUAAGGUGAAGUAUAAGUAUAAGUACCUUUGUUGAUUUACCACGGUCGUCCUUAUCCUUGUCACCAUCAACUCCAGUACUGCCGUCAACCUAUAUUUAGAAAUAGCAAUACAAACGAUAGACAAACAAGUUACAACUACAAAUAUACAACAGACAUGCAUGGAAGAGAAAUGUGCAUAAAAAGGUUUUUAUCUUGCAGUAACUUAAAACACAAUUCCAAUAUUUGGAACUUACAUCAUUUAGUUUCCGAAGCUUCUCUGCUUCUGCCUGUUUUUUCUCCCACUCUUCCCUUACUUUCCUAUUUAUUGUCAUGAUUUGCUGCCGAACAUCUGAAGUGACAACAGUCCGAUGUCUCGUUUUCUCAAAAUCAACCCUCUAAUAGAAAAGUUAUUGUAAGUACAAAGUUUUAUACAAUUAUAAAAGACUACUUGCGCAAGCAACUAGAGAACUGACCUGUUUUGAUAUUCUAAUCAGAUUACUUAUCAGUCCACGCAUCCUUUCCUCCACACUCUGAACAUUUACUCAGUGUCAUAAAAUUACAUGUAAACCAAUUGUACUGAAAAGUGAAAAAUUGUUUGAGUCUCACCAGUGACAAACAUUUCUCCACAUCAUUGCUCAUACCCUUCAAGCCAGACUUGGCCACUGCCAGAGUAACAACAUAAGGUAGCCAUAAGGUUUUGUAUGCCUAGCACAUAUCCAGAUCAGCUCAAAAUGAAAGAAUUAAAACAUAUGGACAGAGGUAUGACACAAGUUGGACACUGACUGAUGUCAAUUAAUUUUUUUUGCAAUGGAGCUUUCUGCAAGAUCAGUCUUUCCUCUUCUUCUUGCACAGCCUUUCGAGAUGCUUCUGACACUCGACUAUCCUCUUUGGGCCCUGAAAAUAACUGCUCUUCCUCUUCCUGUAAAAGAAAUAUUAGAAGUACAGGAAUUAGCAUUCCCUACUUAUUGACUAUCUGAUUUAAUUGAACAUGACGUAGUAUCAUACCCUGAGGUCAACUCCACUAACAGCAGUGACAUCAUUAAGUUGUUCAAUGCUUUGUUCAACAUAUCCCCCAGAUGUUUUUUGUUUUUUACUGUAUGGUACAGGAACAUUAUGUAUAUAUUGAAAUUAGUUAGGUUAAGAAAUUUACCAUAAAAUAAGAUGUUCAUAAAUGAUCCAGUAGAGUAAGACAUGGCUCACCUAGAAGGAGGAGGUGAGGAACCAAGUGCUUCAAGUGGUUUCUUUUGGGUAACGGCAGACUUUUUAAAAGAUGUCCUAGCAACAAUUCCAGAAGCAUUUGAUGGAACCUGAGAGCUUAGCUGAUCAAUUUCAGAAGUGGGACAUAAGAAAUUAGGCAUCAACAAAUUUGAAGACAUUUAUAAACCCGGGGUAUGCUUGGUGCAAAAAUAAUAUCUUGGUAUUUAAAGAAAAAAAUGAAUAGAAAAAGCAUGACAGUUAUUAUUUCUCAAAAAUAGAUUCUGUUAAAAAACUAAAUUGGGAGCAUGAGGACAUUAAAUGAAAAAACAAGCACAACAUUAUACACUUGUUACCCUCCACUGCAAUUUGCAAUACAUCUUUGAUACCUCAUAACCUUGCAUAAGGAAACUGGUGAAUCAAAGGGUCUAAUAAAACACAUGUUGACUUUUGUGAACACUCCAUUACAGGUAAACUUACAUUAUUGUUGGUCUAUGUGAAUGACAAGAUUAUUCCAAGAGAUGAUGAAAUAGAAAAAAUGGUUUUAAAGGAAAAAUUGGCAGCAUUUUGAAAUGAAAGACUUGGGAAAGCUUAAGUAUUUGCUUGGAAUAAAGGUUGCUUAUUCAGAAAAGGGGAUUUUCAUCUCCUAAAGAAAAUAUGUACUUGAAUUCAUUACAGAAAUAGGUAAGUUGGAAUGUAGAACUUCAGAAGUUCCUAUUGAAUUGAAUUAUAGAAUUGUGAGUGAAGAGAGCUCUCAUGUAGAAAAAACUCAAUAUCAAAGAUUGGUAGGAAAACUUAUUUAUUUAUCACACCAUUGCAUAUGCAAUUAGUGUGGUAAGUUUAGGGUUUAGGGUUUAGGGUUUAAGUUUAUGCAUGAUCCAAGAGAAGGCCACAUGCAAGCAAUUGACAAAAUUCUUCCGUACUUGAAGUCAAGCCUAAGAAAUGGGUUAUUCUUCAGGAAAGGAGACACUUUGACCUUGAAGAUAUAUAUACUGAUGCAAACUAUGCAGGUUCUGUUAUUGACAGAAAAUCUACAUUUAGGUAAUGUAUGUUUCUUGGAGAAAGUCUAGUGACCUAGAGAAGCAAAAAACAGGUAGAGUAUCUCGUUUAGGUGCAAAAGUUGAAUUUCGAGCCCUAGUUCAAGGUGUGUGUGGAGGACUCUAGAUGCAAAUCAUACUUGAUGACCUUAAAAUUAAGGUUGACAUCCUUACACAAUUGUAUUGUGAUAAAAAGUCAGCCAUGAGCAUUCCGCAUAAUCUAAUCCAACAUGAUAAGACCAAACAUAUUGAAAUUGACAAGCACUUCAUCAAAGACAAUCUUGACAGAGACCUAUUGAUUACAACUUAUGUUCAUAGAGGAUUUCAGAUAGUAGACACUUUCAUUUCCUUUUUUUAAAGGUUGUGGCUAUUACAAGUAGAGAUGGUGAGAAUGUAAUUUGGAUGAUUGAUAUCAAUAAAAUAAUUCUUUAUUUUUCAAGUAGGUGCAAACCUUACAUUAUUAAGCUGAUUUUGUGGGGUUGAGUUAGACUUAAAUUCCACUAUCCUAAUAUUAUAUCAGAGUUAUUAAGAGUCUAUCUUAGUCGAGAUUUGGACCUAUCAUGUCACCCUAUCGGACCCCAAUUGAUUCCCACGCUCAAUAUUCUCAGUGUGGAUGCACAAUGUCCUUGACAUGAGGGGUGUGUGUUGGAGAUCUAACAUCAAUUAGAGAUAAGACCAAAUUAAUAUAUAUAAGUGAAUACAAACCUCACAUUACUGAGUCGGUUUUAUAGGAUUGAGUUAGGCUUAAAUUUCACUAUCUUAAUAAAUACUAUCUAUGUUGGCAACUUCAUUACAAAAGGAAUUCAGAAAAUUACUGGUGAAAGAGAUUCUUUGCUAAAAACAAUUUAAUAAAAAAAAUUACGGAAAACAUAUCUAAGCUGAGGGAACUGAUGUUUCAUAUAUACAUUCAGCAUAACAAAGUACUAAAGGAUUCAUUGUGCCCAUUAGGAUAAAAACACAUUUGCAUGUUACUUGAUCUGCAAAAAAUUACCAUUAUAUCUUAAGACAAGAUCAUGUACAACAAUCUCCAACUUACCGGGACACUAGAGUCUAGGUGGGUCAUUAUAGAAGAGGAACCAGAACUGUGUGGUAGCAAGCCAGUAGAUGUUGUAGGUGGCAUGUUUGUGGAUGCCGGAAGACCUCUUGAAAAGUCAUCUUUUAGAGUUCCUUGACUGGCACCACUCUGUUCAAGCUGAGCAGAAUUAACAGAAGAAUACCCGUGCAAUUUUGACAAAUUGUGCCUAUUUUGCUGCUCAGUAGAUAAGUCAGUAGGUUCCUUCUUGACAUAAGAAACAGAUGACAUUAAGCCCAGAUUUUGUUCUUUGUUUGUUGAUGAUUGCCAAGCAGUUGAAGUUUGUUGAGAUGCUGUAUUGUUUAUAGAAGAAGACACAGAUCCACCUGGCAGUCUCUUGGGAUCAUUGAAAGAAUUCUGCUGUUCAACUUUUGGCAUACCAGUUACACUCAAACCAUGUGUUGACCCACCUAAGUGAUUUGAACCAAUACUUUGAUGAGGAAUUUGACUCAUGUGUGAAUCAUGUGAUUGCAGUUUGAUAGACGAAGAGGAACUACUUGUUGCCCCAGAAUAAGGGUUAUAGUUACCACCACUGUUUCCAUAUGUUGGUGCAAAAUGUAGAUGGUGUUGCUGCUGCUUAUUGAGCCCUUGUAUGUGAACUGAUGUUCUUUCUGUUUCUUGACCUACUGUGUUGGAACUGGAAGACGUCAACUGGUUUGGUUGCAAUCCUUGAGAUUCUAUUUUAACAUCGAAUUCCUGAGAUUUUCUAGCAUUACUAUCCAUAGUUUGGCCAGCUGAAGAACUCAGGCGAGAUUGGUCAACGGCAACAUUCAUACUUCUUUGAUGCAUCUGUGCUAAAGCAUGGGGAUCAUUCAAUUGCCUUGCACCUGAACUAACAGUUGGCAUCCUUACAGGAAGCUGCUGCCCAGCAGAUGCUUGAUUGGACCUUGCCUAAAUAGUAUGAAAAAAUGAAUCUAAGCAUGGCCAUGACAUCAAUAUCUAAUUGGAUUAUGAAAACCACCCACAACACAAACCAUGUUUCUUACUACCUGUGGUUGCAUUUGCACCUUUGCUAAUGCUAAUCUAAGCAUCUGGUCCCCUACGAUACCUUUCAUAAGCCGCACAAAACUGUCUUUUGGUAUUUCAUCUUUCUAGAAUGAAAAAAUAAAAAAACUGAUGAAAUACAAAAUUAGUGCAUACUGCAUGUGAUAUCUGUUCAUAAGCUGGUCCUGGGCUAUCAUCAAAAAGACUAAAACUUGCCAUGGAAAGGGGAGGGGGGAAGGACCUGAUAGCUAGAUUGGUUGGAAAACACACCUUCAAUUUAGCAAAUAAGGUUUGAAGUUGCAUGGCUCUGUCUUUGGCAAGUUGAGGAAGCAAGAUGGGUAGCAACAGGCCAAAUGGUACUUGUUUACUACGAUUUACUUGGCUACUUGGCUGCUCAGAGACUGUAGCCUGUUGAUUACUCAUCUGCUGCAACUUUGCAUACUGAGAUUCACUGCUGGGAUUAUGACUCUUUACUACUUCAUUAUUAAGAACUGAAUCCUUUACAGAAUUCUGAAUUCCAAUAGUUUGAGAAUUGUGGAGGGGAACUUGUACAGCAGGUGCUUGUGCUUGGUGACAGUCAUCUUGAGAUUGUUUCUGUGAUAGAUGAGGAUUAUUUACAUCCUGAGAAGCAACAUGCUGAAGAUGCUCGCCAAGCGACCCAUGUUGCUUCGGCUCCAUCUCAGAUGAAUGUUGCUCUUGUUGUGCAGUUUUAGGCUCUUGAUUUUGACCAUCAGUUUGGCUGUCAGGGUUAGAAGUAGGCCACUGUGAUAAAGAUUGACUUGAUGUAUUAUUGCUUCCUUGAGACAACACUGCAGCAAAUAUAGCACAUAAACAUAAAGAAUGAGCAUUUUACGUGAGAAAACACAAAGCAAUAUAAAAAAGUUAUGUGUCCCAGGACUCAAUUAAAUUUAGAACUUAAACUAACACAUUUCCUAUUAGUGUUCAACUCAUACCAAGCUUGCUCUUUCAAUGAGCUUCAGAGAAGAAUGACUACUUUUCAAUCAAUUAUUUGGGAGACAAAGCCAGAAAGCGACAUGCAGCUUUAUUUCAGAAUCAUAGUGCUAUAGUUACUAUCCAGAAGGAAAUGAUGAUAGCAGUUGCAAGAAACAAAGGCAGGACUAUUAUUUGUGAUGCAACAGUCAUACAAUCAAUUCAUGAGGGUUGGUUGGUGUGACUUGUUAGUAUUUGAUCCUGGAAAUGCUAAUGCCAACUCUGGUGGCAAAGUGGGUUCCAAGAGAUGGAACUCCCAGCCAGCAUACUUCUAGAAAUGGGAUCCAUUGAAGUUUUCAGCAGCUAUAGGUCAAUCACUGAAAUCUCCAAUGCCAACUCUAAUAAAAGAGAGGAUUCAUAGGAAUGGGAUUCCCAGCCACCAUACAUCAAGCAAUGGAAUAGUUCUUGUAGCUGCUACAGGAAACCACAGGAACCUCUCUACCUUGGUGACAAGCUGGCUCUUAUUUUAUUUUUUAUUUGGUGGGUAUUAUUGGGUAUUCCUAUGCUGACCAUAUGAGAAACCCGAAUAAGAGAAGGAUAGGGAUUUAUUUAGGCUAUCACUAACACAAGACAUGCCUAGAUGGGAACUGGGAAGGAAUGAGGUGAAGUUAGAUGAUAUGUGGGAUAAAAGUGAACUGGGAAAAUGAAAGAGGUAGCCUAUUAUUGAGUGAGAAUUUUGAGGCUUCAGGUCUUUUCAAAAUGACCUCUUAUAUCUUUCCUUUUUCUGCUUGUGGAAUUCUAGAGACCCAUAUCUAUGUAAGGAAUUAAUCAGUCUCCAUAUUUUCUUAAAGGAAUUCAAGAAAUUAGUCAACCUAUCACCCCAAUUGGGGAAUUAUCCUGUUAUCUGUAGUCCAGCACAAGGUCUUCUAUCAAUUGGAGAGCUUCAGAUCUAGAGAACCAGCAAUAACUAGUAAUACCGUAAUAGGGAAUAAAGCUCUGGGAAAUAAGGACAAUAAGAGAAAAAGACAGAAUGUAUAUUUGGGCUGCAACAACCUUGAUUGUGAGGUAAGGAUGAUGAAAAGAAAGGGAGGAAAUGGAAAAAAAAAAAGAGAAUUAAAAAAUUGUGUAAGGCAUUGAUAGGAAGGGCUGGAGGGGGUAGCCAACACCUCAACUAGCUUAGAGCUCUAUUUUUCCUUUUCCUGUUUAUACUCCCUCUGUUUACGAGGUCGUUUGUAGCCUACUUUCCUUUUCCUACUUCAGAGAGAGAGAGCUAUGUUCCAGAUUCACAUUGUAUAUGAGGUCAUUUAUUUUCAGUAGCUAAGUGAAAUUCAGUUCUUAUUAUCAGCUCUAUCAACAAUGAUUGUAAGAAAAUUGCGAGUCCACAAAAACAACAGAAAUCUCUAAAUACACAUACUUUGUUGUAGUGAGGACAUCAUGGAAUUUGAUAAUGAAGUAGAAAUUCAUCUAGUCCACAUUGAAUAGUAAAACAUAUCUUGGACCUUCGUAACCACAGCUGGGCAAAUUCCAUUAGAAGAAACACACACUGAAAGGAGAUAUCAACCGACUCCUAGUUAAUUAACUUUUUUCGACAACCAAAAUACUUCAGUGUUCAAACACUAUGACCAAACAUAAAUGUUUUUAUAUCAUUUUGAUGUUUUAGAUGUCUAAACAGUAAACUCAAACAUGGACAGAAGAAGCAGUGAAUUUGAACAGAAUAAUAAAAAUAAGAAAGAAAUCAAAUAUUACCAGAAUGAGAGAGAGGUCAGUAUUGAACAGAAAAUGAUGAAUAAAAUUGGCAGAUACCUGCAUCUGAACCAGGAAGAGAAGCAGACAAGUCUCCUCCUAUAUCUCUAUUUAGAGCAGCCUGGAAGGCCUCCACAUCCACCCCUGAAUGCAUUGUUUCAUCCUGUGAACAUUCAAACGCAGUGGUCCAAUAAGCUAAGCCCCAAAUCGGUGAACAAGACCAAAGUUCUUCUCCAAAGAAAAAGAAGAGAAAAGAGCAGCAGGGUAAACCUCGUCAUCUUCUAGAAGCUUCAUGAUAGACGGGUCCAUAGCAAUUUCACUGCACUUGUAAUCCUUGUUCCUCUAUUUAACCAAAACAAACUCAGAAAUUUUCUUUCACACCAUAUCUUAGCUCAUAAGAGUAAGCAGACAAACUGAAAUAGCAUCACCACCACCAUAUGUAUCAAUCCAUAAACAGUUUACCCACGGGUUCAAUUUCUACCUAAAUACUUACAAUCGCAUAAUACAAUUCAACUAACUUUUCACUUAAAAAUGAGGGAUUCCAUUAUGUCAUGUUAGGGUGGUGAAUAAGGUUACUCACGAGCUUGCAAGAAUCUCUAAAUAUCUAAAUUAAAACACACAUCAGUUCGUCAAACACAUGGAUGCGAGUACGAGACCUAGCAACUAUCGGUAUACAACUACGCAAAAAAAUAAAGCCGAAUCAUAAUUGCUUCAUUCUAAGCAUAAAUCACAUCCGAGAAAGAAGAACAACGCAAUAGAGUUCAUGGUUAUGAUCUAUUGAGUAUGCACCACAAUUUACGCAGUAAAAUCAUAUUAUGAGAUGUAAUCGUUUCUAAUUCCUAAAGGGCACAGAAAACUGAGAACAAACGUUGAUGAAAUAGCUUGCGUAAUUGCAACUCACCCAACCAAAAGAGAGUGAAAGGUUCCGUUGAGGUUCCGAGAUUACAAAAACAAUUCAGCGAUUUCAAUUUAUUUCUGAACACGAUUCAAACUCAACGUAAGAGAUGAUCAAGGGGUUUUGUAUCUGUAGUUUCGCUUUUUAUUUUAUAAAGAAAAAUAUGGUAAAAAGAGACANNNNNNNNNNNNNNNNNNNNNNNNNNNNNNNNNNNNNNNNNNNNNNNNNNNNNNNNNNNNNNNNNNNNNNNNNNNNNNNNNNNNNNNNNNNNNNNNNNNNUAUUAUUACUUAUUAUUUAAAUAUAUAUAUAUAUAUAUAUAUAUAUAUAUAUAUAUUACAUCAAUAUUCAUUUAUGUAAAUAAAAUAUCAAAUAGUUUUAAAUUAAUAUGAUUUUUUUGCGUACACAUUAUCUGCGUAAAAGUAAUUUAAAAUUUAGAAAAAUAUAAUAUGAAUAGAUUAUAUUAAUGCGUUUGUUUAAUUACAUAAACAUUUUAAUUUUAAAAUUUUAUAUAAAUAUAUUUAUUUUAAAAACGUUAUAUUAUGAUUUUUUUUCUCUCUUAUAAAGCACAUUCGUCUUCUUAACUUUUUAAAAUAUUACCUUUACACUUUUAUAUGGGAUAUUAUUCUAAUCUUAAAAAAAUUGAAUCGUUAGCAAAAUUUAUUAAAAAAAUAUUGUCAUAAUUUACUCUGAAGGUAUUUUACGAACCUUGACUUUUAGUUUAUUCUAAAAAAAAUAAAAAUAAGCAUAGAGAUUCGUGGGGACCUAUUUUUAUUGGGCUUGUUGUAUGGACUUCCUAACUUCUCAUUUUUCUUCAUCCACUCCCAUAAUUCCUUCAUACACAUCCAUGGAGUAUUAAAAAAAUCUAAAUUAUUCAUUAUUUAAAUUUUUAGAUUGCUAAAAUUUGGAAUAUAUACUUAAAUUAUACAAUUUAAAAUACGAAUAUGCAGUCCAAAUUAUGAAUUUUGAUCUAUAAAUGUAUUAUAAAUUUUUAAAUUUCAUAAUUUAAAAUUCAUUUUUAUAUUUAUGAACAUAUUUUAUAUUUUUAAACUAUUGAAUCUAAAAUAUGGUUUCAAAUUACAUAAUAUCGAAAAUUCAAUUUAAAUUUUAUAAUUCAUAAUACGUUUAUAAAUUAUAUAAUAUAUAAUAUAUUUUAGAUCUGAAAAUAUAUUAUAAGUUAUAUAAUUUGAAAUACAUCUCUAAAUUAUGUAAUUUAAAAUAUAUUUUUAAAUAUUUAAUACAUCAUUUAUAAUUUAUAAUGACUUUUUUUAUUUACAUAAUUCGAAAUGUUUUUGACUUACAGACCUUCGACUUUUUUUAAAGGAAAAUUACAUUGUUUUUAAUCAAAUCCUCUUUUUAAAAACAUUAAAUAAUCAAAUUUAAUUUUAGAAUGACAGGUGGAAAAUGAUUUAUCGACCACUUUGAGAAUUAAUUAGGUAUUAAACAUAUUCUAAACAAAUUGGGAGGAAUUUAAAAUAUUCUGAAAUUAAUUUAAAUGAAAAAAAAAACAUAUUCUAUAAUUAAAUUUUCUUUUUUGACACGGUUGCCAUCGUAAAUGUACUCUUAAUUUCGAAAUUAUCAUUGCAUUUUUCUUACAACAGUGGCUUCAAAAUCAUUAAAAGCCUUUCUAAUUAGUAAAAAUUAGAUUAUUUAAAUAAUUUAGGUCACAGGAACGUGGUUUUAAAUUAAGCAAUAAAAAUUAUUAUUAAAACAUAUGAUAUAUUGCUUAUGUAUGCGAGCAUCAUUGUUUAAUGUCUUUACUUUGGAAAGCUACAAAAUAAAUAAAUAAAAUAUGAAGUUUUUUUUUAUAUAUUGCCCAACUUAAUUAUAUAUUUCCUGUAAAAAAUAUCAUAUCCAAACACGAGUAAAAUAUUUGUGUCUAUUAUUAGCAAUGAAAAAGUAAUUUUUAUCACUAAAUUACAGAAAGUUUGAUCUUUGAUUUACAGAAAAAACUAAUCAAAUAUAUCUAUAUCUAUAUAUAUAUAUAUAUUUUAUAUAUUUAUAUAUAUUUAUAUAUAUGGUAAGAACAAGAAGUGGUCCCUUUCUUCAUUAUUCAACUCUAUGUUUUACCAUGCAAAACAACAAGCCAUGUGAGCUUGUGAACAUGGAAGGAAACAAAAUAAAUAAUAUUUUUUUUACAAAUUUUAUGUGGAUACCUAAAAGUUUUUCUAACUAGAUAGAGUAUUUCAUUUUUAUAUUUUGUAAUUAAAUAUAUUACUUUGAAAUUAUUUGAGCAUAUUUAUUUCAAAAGCAAAUUAACUCUAACCUAUUUAAAUAUGAUAAAAAAAAGUUCUAACCGAAUUAAAGUAUGAUAUGGUUUAUCAUUAAUAAAAUAAAUUAAAAUGGACAUUUUAUAUAACUAAUAGUUUUAUUCAAGCAUAUGUUUUUAACUUCAAAUAUUUUUUUCAAUAGGAAUACAAAAUUAACUAAAACAUAAAAAAUAUUAAGGACAACUUGUAUUGUUAAAUAAGUUAAUUAAAUGCUAAUAAAAAAAUAAGUUAAUUAAAUUAUGGAAUGAGGUAAUAAACCACAAUAUGGACACCAAGUGUUUACAGAACUGAAGAACUUUUGGAUAGAAAUUUUAUAUUAUUUCAUAUUAGUAAUUAAUUUAACUUCGUUGUAAAUAUAAAUAUAUAAUUAUUACAUUAUUUUAAUUUUAGAUUUAUCUGUGUACUAUCUAUUUUUUAAUAUUUGUUAUGAAAUUUAAAUAUUGAUUGAACUCAAUCACUAUUAUAAAAUUAUUAAAUAAAAACUAAUUUUAGAGAAAAAAAUAAUUAGUUACUAUAUUGAUUAAAUUAAAUAUUAUUUUAAAUACUAAAAAAAUAUUGUUAUCUAAAUUAGUUUCUAUUAUUGAUAAAUAAUUUUUAAAUUUGUAUAUUAUUAACUAUGUUUUAGCAAUAAUUCUUUUAGAUUCUAAAGUUGGUAGCUAAUUAGAUACCAAUUUAGAAACUAUUUAUCAAUAAUAGAAAUUCAUUUAAAAGCUAGUAAUUUUUUUUAUAUAAUAUUUAAUUUAAUUUUUUAAUAUAAGAACUGAUUUUUUUUUCUCUAAUUUUUAUUUAAUAAUUUUUUAAUAUUUUAAAAGGCAACAAGUCAAGAAAAUCUUUAAAUAGAAACUAACUUUUUAGAAACCAAAAUAAUUAGUUAUUAUUUAAUUAAAUUAGAUACCAUUUUACUAAAUGAGUCUCUAAAAUUUAGAAUAUAAAAUAUUAGUAAGUAAAAUCAUGGUAACUACUUUAAAUACCAAUUUAUAAAUCAGUUUAUAAAUUCUUAUUAAUAAUAUAAACUACUAUAGAUACUAAUAAUUUUGUAGUCUCUAAAUUAAUAUCUAAUUUAAUCCAUAUAUUGAUUAAUUAUUUUUCGUCUUUAAAUUUAAUUAUUAUUUAAUGAUUUUUUUUAUUAUAUAUUCUUUAGUUUAUAAUUCUUCAAAAUAUUUAUAUUUCAAGACUCUUCAUAUGCCUUUAAAGUAGAUAGAAAUUAUAUUCUUAAAAGGGCAUGUAUCCAUGUAUUAGAAAACCAUCUUGUUAGUGUUCCCAUGAAUGUUUGUUUUAAGUGAUGAGUUAUAUGUUUUGAUAGUGAAUUUUGAGUUUUUGGUUUGAAUUUUUUUUAUAGAAAAUAAUAAUAUAUUAUAAAUAUUUAUAAUUUCAUUCAUUAAAGUAAACAAAUCUGUUUCUAUAUAUUAAUUUAACCAAGAUGAAAAACGAGACUGAGAAAGUACUUUGACAUAACUUACAUGAAUGGAGUUCUCCCAAGGUUCUCUCUUCUCCAAGUAAUGCUACUGUUGAUGCGCAUUUAUUGAGACUCUUCCAUAGCAGACAUUGAAUGCACAAGUAUCUUUUGUUUCAAAAGUUUUUUGAAUUGAAAUGAAUUGAGCAGGUUUGAAUUUAAUGCAGUCACUGAAGGUUGUAAUGGAGUGAGAGUCCCCAAGCACGGUGUCUUCACAGAGAAGCAUAUCACUUAAAAUUGGUAGGUUUUCUUUUAGAGUCUCACAUUUUCCCCACCCCUUCAAACUUAUUAUCUUUACACGCGUUUUGAGGUGGACUUCGGUUUCAUCAUCAACCAACAGUGACAAAACACUGCUCCUUUCCUCCUUCCAAGAACACUUAUUUAUUAGUAAUUCACUUCAACAACAUUGUCCUCUUCAGGUUUGUUGUGUUUCUAACUCUGGUUAGUGUAGUACUUGAAAACAUGAAGGUUUCUGGGCUCUUUGCUUUGCUCUUGGUGGUUGGAGCAACUGUGAUGUUCUAUAACGUCUUAGGUCCCACUGGGACCUCUGCGAUACCUGGUACAUAUAUUCUUUCCCUUACUACACUUUAUUUCAUUUGAGAAAAAUUGUUAGAUCUCUUCAGAUAAUGCAAAUCAUCAAUGUCUUUGUGUGAAGUGUUUUGUUAUUAUCACCAUGUAUGUUUCUCAUAGUCUGGUCCCCAUGUUUCUCUUACUUUUAAGUCUUGAACCUUUGAACCUUUGAUUUGCAUAGACCUCAAAAAAUAUAGAGGUUAGUGGUAAAGUAAGAAAUAACAGUUUUGUUUAUGUGCAGAAGUUUGAGUAGAGAUAUAUUUGAAUAUCACCGGUUAAAAGACACAUGGGGUGUUUUGAAUUUUGUGUUUGACCUAACUGUGUUUCUUCCCUUUGAUGAAAUUUUAUUGAUUUUUCCUUUGGUAUUGUUGUGCAUGCAUGCAGUGGUGGCAGUUUCCAAUCCACAAACUCUUGGGAAAAAAUGUUGUUCUUUGUUUUCUCCUUCUGUGUAUGAUUUUCUGUAGUUGACAAAGUGUUUUUGUUAUUAUUCUGUUGAUUGUUUUCUCACAGCCAACAUGAGCCACAAAGUUGAGACUUGAGACAGCUUUAUAGUGGUGUUCAGCCGCAAAAAUUGAAGGAGUAAUUCAUGAUUUGACAUAAUGGUGAAAGCCAUUUUAAAAGUUUUCAAGUUCCACCCAUAUUAUUGGGAAAAAAGGCAGCAUUAUAUUUGUCAUUUCUAUAUCAGCCAAAGCAUAUAAUGCAUCUUGUUGGAUACUAAUAACAUGAUUAGUAUAAACAUUUUUAGAUAACAAAACUAAAAUUGGAAAACAAAACUUAUCACAUAUGAUGUGAUGUCAGUCUUUGUAUCUUUGGUGAGAUUUUGUAUAUGUGUUGGAGUAUCUACUAGUUCCAUUUUGUUUAUUUUUUAUUAUUGAAAAAAAAAACUUUUUAUGCCUUUAUGUAUAAUCUAACACUUUUUCAAUAACAUCUCAGAUUUGGUUGAAACCAACCAUGGUGAUAAAGCCAAACGGAUUGCAGUAAGCAGGAAACUGAAGGUAUGAAUGCUUUACAAUUGAUCCUUGGACUUAAGCUCUGGCACUUGACCAUGCUGGUUAAUGCAAUCAAAACUUAAUUAUAAUGGGAUGUUACAUGAUAAAUUUGAUGUUAUAAAUAUUAACUACCUUGAAAGUAAUACCUAAGAUGAAUUUUACUUGUUCAUGAUGUAAAACUUUUAAACCCUAAAUUUAAACUUAUUUUAGUUUCAGUUGAAAUGUAUCUUACAUGUGUUUGGUUUGAAAUUUUAGGAAAAUGGGAUUGAAAGUGGCAACAUGGGUCAAGUUUCUCUGACUGAUUAUGGUGCUGUUGAUCCAGUGCCAAAUUCAUCAAAGGCCAUACAAUCUGGACCCAUUGAGUAUGGAAGCCCUCUGAAUCCAUACAUCCCAAAACUUUCACCUCCUGAUCAUCCCAAACCUGGAGAUUCUAACUAACUUUGCUGGUCUCUUUUGAAGUAUGCAACUACAAGAAAUAUUGAUGUUAAUUUCCUCAAAAACUCACACAAAGAUAAAAAGAGAUACUAAAUUUACUAUAAUUAUCAUUUAGUAUCUCCGUUUUAGUCUUUAUGUGGAUUAUUUUAGGAGACUAACAUCGAUAUUUUUUUUAGUGUGUUAUAGUGGACACUGUUCUCAGAAGAGGAACGCUAUUCACACUCUUUUAACAUAUUUCUUUUGAUGGGGAUAUAAGAAAUUGUUCAAAGUAAUGUGUUGGUGGCAUUGCUCAUGCUGAAAAUAAAGAUGGAGGAUCUGUUAUCACACGUUGUUUAGUCAGUCUUUUGUUCAUGCUGAAAAUUAGGAUCAUGUGUGGAUCCUUAUUUUUGUUGGUUUGUGUUUGUGCAACUUCAGUAUGUUUAAUUUUGUUUUCUGUGUAUCUUCUUACUUAUGAAGUAUAUGAAUUUGUUUUUGUUGAUAAGGUUCUUUGUUUUUACCACUGCAAUUGAAUAAAUUCUCAAUUGAAUACAUGGUAUUUUAAAGAUAAAACUAAUGAAAAAAAAAAUUCAAGUUUGUUGGAGAGAACUUAUAAAUCGAUUUAGUUAAGGACUUACCAAAGAUGAAGCAGACAAGCUUUAAGCAAAGGGAAAGAUAUAAAGAGAAGAGAAUGGACAAAGAUAGUUCAUGCUGGAGCAUCCAAAAAACUGCAGAAUGAAAGGUUUCUUACACACCCUAUAUGGUGAGGCAAGUAAUCUUGCAAACAAUUCUAACGCUAAUAAAAUUGGAAAUCAAGGUUGAUGAUUAACUCGAUUUUAGUUUAAUAGGUUGAGAUCACGAUGUAAUAUAAUGUUUGCUGUUGAUUAUUAACAAUGCAAAAAAUUAUUAAAAAAAUAAUUUUAAAAAUAAAAAAUAAUUAGUUAUAAAAUAGUUUAUAUUAUUAAUAAAUAGUUGUUAAAAUGAUUAAUUAGAUACUAAUUUAAAAAUUAUUUAUUAAUAAAAGUGUACGGGUCGCGUCCGUAUGACUGAUUUGAAGUUCAGCAUUCGAUCAAGACCACCAUUACGCCCAAACAUAAGACUAACGAGACUAAUCAUAGAUCAAACAUUAAAUAGUGUAUCUUUAAUUAUAGAUUAAAUUCUUAAUCAGACCCAAUAAUAAAGGGUUCACAAUAAUUAUAUAAAUAAGCAUAAAAUUCAAUAAUCAGGUACGUCAUCAUCUAGUACUAAACACACUUAACACCUAGUGUCAAAGUCUUACUUGAGCAUCAAAAUGUCUUUUGCAGUAUCAUUCAAGUCUGGAGUUCAGAGAGAAAAGGAGUGGAGGAGUGAGAGAUGCAUAAGGAGUUCGUUCAAGAGGAAGGAAGAGCAAACCUAGUUACCGUGAAGGAGUUCAAUUGUUCUCUUGGUUCCAAUUCCGUUUGAAAAGAUAAAGAAACUAUUUUAUAUAUUAAUAAUUUGUUUAGUUUUUAGAAUAAUAUAUAAUUUAGUUAAUAUUAAUUAAUUAUUUUUGUUUUUAAAAUUAGUUUAUAUUGUGUUGAAGCUGUUUAGUAUGUGAAUCUGUUUCUUGAGCAAUUGUGUUGAAGCUGAAGAUGUGAAUUGGUUUGGUUUCAAUUGUGGACAUUCUAUUUUAACAUAAAAUUCCUGAGAUUUUCUAGCAAUAGCUGAAGAACUAAUGGAAGAUUGAUCAGCAGCAACAUUCAUAUACUUGUUUGAUGUAUUGGUAUCAUUCAAUUGCCUUGCACCUUCAUAAAUCUAACUACAUAUAAAAUCUGAUAGAAAUUCAUUCUGCCUGUAAUGAAUAUAGUUAAACAUAUAUUGAAAGUUUGUGAUUACUAAUUUUGAUCACCAAAUUUAUUGGUCGGUUCUUUGUUGCAUUGAACGUUUCUUCUUUAUUUGUGGUGGUGGAUUGAGUAAUAGCUGCGCAGGCAUUAUAACAACUGCCAUAUUUAAAGAACAUGACAGUUGCUGUACAAAUUCAAUGCUUCCAGAAGUAUUUUACAGAAAGCUUGGUCUUUGAUUUACAGAAAAAUUAAUCAAAUAUAUAUGGUAAGAACAAUUGUAAGUAUAAUUUUCUGCUAAUUACCCAUUUGUCUAAACCAUAAACUCAAAUCAUUCACAGUGAAUCAAUGACUGUUCACAUAUCACGAAGAUUCUGAAGUAAGUGGUCCCUUUCUUCAUUAGUCAACUCUGCGUUUUAUCAUGCAUGUCUGUUUCAACAUAGAAGGAAGCAGUUAAAGGAAUCUAAUAGUUCUUCUUAAUUCAUAGAGGGUUUCUCUUCUUACCGGAAAUGUGUUGUUGAAGAAACUUUUUGGUGAGAUUCUUGAUAUUCUUCGGCGAAGGUCUUCAGAUAAAAGAGAAGAUCCAUAUGAAAAAUUCUCCAAGUAAAUAAGAAUAACACAAUUAUGAUGAUAAGUGUGCAAAGUAUUAAUUAAGAAUAUAGAAUAAAAUAAAUUGUAUUUAUUAAAGAGUUAUUAUUUAUAGAUUUUUUGGUAACGGUCAUUAUUGGGUUGGCUUUAUGACGGGUAGAGUAGGUACAGUUUCUUUUAUAUUUUACUAUUAAAUACAUGUUUUAUUAAUAUUUUCUUUAAAAAUAGUAUUUAUUUUAAAUAAUGUAUUAUGUCAAACUUAUAUUCUACUACGAAUAAAUAAAUAAAUAAAAAUAUUUAAAUAUUUUGAGAUCCAUAUUUCAAGAAUGAAAUAAUCUAAGAAUGAUAUUUUUUUAUUUAUUUAUCAGCAAUAAUCUACGAAUGAUAAUAAAAUAAAUUAUAAUUGAAUGUUUUAUAUUACUAAAUUUUAUUAAAGCAUCUAUUCCUAAACUUAAAUAUUUUUUAAUGGGAAUAAAGAAUUAACUAAAACACAAAGGUAUUUAAGGGCAACUUUUGUUGUUAAAUAAAUAAAUUAAAUUAUUUAUUUGACUAAAAUUAAUCUUUAGUCCAUAUUGGUUAGUGAAUGUAUAAUUUUGGUUCCUAUCAAAAUUUAGUACAUUAAUUUGAACUUUUAGAAUUUUAAAAUUAAACAAUGAUGACAGAGUCUUAAUGCUUUUUUCAACUUCUAAUAAAAGUGGUUGAUAUCCAUCACUGAUAAUUCUUUUUUUUGAAAACUAAUAAUAAUAAUAUUAGUUACUCAUUUCUAUAAACUACAACAAAAUUAUUAAAUAAAAAUCAAUUUUAAAGACCACAAAUAAUUAAUUAUUACAGUAACUAAAUUAGAUACUAUUUUAGAGAUUAAAAAAAUUUAUUAAUUUCUAAAUUAGUUUUUAUUAUUGAUAAAUAAUUUUUAAAUUAGUAUCUAAUUAGUUACCAAGAUUUUUGCUGCCUAAUUUAGAAUUUAAAUAAUUGGUAGUUAAAACCUUGGUAGCUAAUUAGAUAUCAAUCUAGAAAUUAUUUAUCAAUAAUAGAAACUAAUUUAGAAAAAAACUCAAUAAUGUUUUUAGUAUCUAAAAUAGUUUCUUAUUUAUUUAGUCAUUAUAGCAACUAACUAUUUUUUAUUUCUAAAAUUAGUUUCUAUUUAAUGAUUUUUUUUUUAGUGUACUAAUAUUAUUGUUUAAUUCUAAAUUUUAAAAUUGUUAUAAAAAUUAUUUUAUUUUUUUUAACUAAAUGGAUGAUAUAUUUUGUUGGAUUAAAAUUGCUGAAUUUAAAAAACUUAGAGGACCAAAUCUGUAUUUCAGCAUAUAUGUCAUCUUCCUACUUAGAAAGUUGUUAAUCACGCGUAAUUGUUGUCGUUUUCGUGUUAAUGAAGGAGUAAUUAAGUUUGUUGGGCAUUUGAGUUGGUAUUAGCUUUUAUGCUUCAUUAAUUGUGUUUUAAGUAGUUGUCAUCAAAUUAUUACUUAGGUAUUUUAGCAUUUAAUAAUUAUACUUACCAAUGUCAUUUUCCUACUUUUCAAAAGUUGUUAAUCACACCUAAUUUAUGUUGUCUCUUUCAUGUUGAUGUAUUUAGAGAGGAGUAAUUAAUUUUAUUGGGUUUUGAAUUGAUAUUACCUUUCAUGUUUAAUUAAUAAUUACAAAAGACAAAUUUACUAAAAUGAUAACCUAGUUUAUGUACAUUUUUUAGUAUGAUAUUUUAUUUUAUUUUGAUUUUAUUAUAUCAUAUCAUUGUUUAGGAUUUUCAAUUUUUACUUUAUUAUAAGAGUCUUAUAUUUUUUUAUAUUUUAUAUAAAAAGUUUUGCGUUGGUAACUAAAGUUAUUUAACGCGUGAAGGGAAAAAUGCGCUAAAUGACAAAAAAAGCAUUUACUUGUUUUGAAGAAUAUAAAAAAUUUGAUUUAGUAUUUAAAAAUAACAGUACAUUUAAAUGUAGUUGUGGAUAGGAUGAUUGAACAUAAAAUAUAAGUAUCAGUUUGUGUUUGACUGUUAUAUAAUUUUUUUAGAGCUCUUAUUUUUAUAGAAUAUGAGUGUAUUUCGUAUAUUAAUAAAUUAAUUAUUUACGUAUUAAGUUAAUUUCAUUAACACAAGUGUUAUGUAAGUAUAUCAAAAUAGUUUAUUUUAAGGAUGUCUACUUAUAAGUUAUAAAUUAUUUUAAUUAAUUUUUAGUUUGUUUAUUUUUUUUUUCCAUUAACACUACUUGUAUUUAAUAUUUUUUUAAUUAUUAUUACUUAUUUUAACAUGUAUUCAAACUAUCAACCUUAAAAAACAAGUGAUUAAAUAACUUGAAUGUAAAGUAAAAAAAAUUUAGAGAAAAAAAAAUAAUUAAUCAUUCUAUUGAUUAAAUUAUAUAUUAGUUUAUAAAAAAAAUUAAUAUAUAAAAUAAUUUCUAUUAUUAAUAAAUAUUUUAAUUAAUUAACAAAAUUUUACCUACCACACCCUAUCACAACAUUACUUUAAUGGUGAAUCACAACUUGAUAUUCAAUCUAAUAAUACUCACUUAUUCUUAUAAAAAAAAUCUUAAGAAACAUACUUUCCCCCUUCAUGGAAACACACCAUUUACUUUAUUUUUAACUUUCGAUCAAUUCUUUACAAAACGUAUACUUCACCAUAUCUCAAAUCAUACAUCAAAUAAAUACAUAUAUAUAUAUAUAUAUAUACUAACAUUUCAACCAUCACACACUUUACUCUUCUAAAUAAUCAAUUCAUUAAAUAGAAGUAACUAUUACCUCUCUUUAUUGUGUAUAAAAGAGUACAUGUUUUCAAGAUAAAAUAAAAUAUCAUAAACCCUAAACCCUAAACAUAAAUAACAUAUGAUAAUUUCAUCAAUUUAAGAGGAAAAAUAACUUAAACAUGACAUUGUGAGAAUUAGGAAAAAUAGUGGAAGAAUGAAUAUAAAAAAAAAGAGUAUAUUUUUACUCAUAUAAAAUAUUAUUGAUUAUGUUUAAUCAUAUUAAAUUAAAAUUUAAUUUAAUUUUUUAUGAUAUUAUUUUUUGCGUAUAAUUAUAAUGACAUUUAUAAUAAUUAAAUUACUUUUUUAAUUGGUAAAAAAUUGAAAUGUUAAAAGAGUUAUAAAAGUGUAAAAUCUUGUGGAGAAAGCUUGUAAGAGAAUCUUAAAUAUUGGUAAAAAAAGUUUUAUUUUUCUAAAAAAAGAGUAAGAUAUUGGGAAGUGUGUAGAGAAUUGAUUGGGAUACCCUGUAAUAAUGUGGGAAGUUUAAAUGAUAGAGGGCAGCAUGGAAGUUUCUCAUUGCCAUUCACUGCGGUGGCUGUUGAGAUUUUAUUGCUAUUGCUCGUGCUGUAACUACAGCACUGGGGAAUGAAGAGGCUCAUCACUCAUGACUCUUUAAUGCACUCACUCAAGCUUGUUGUGGAAUUCGAGUCCCCAAACACGUUAUCAUCACACAAAACCAACUUAACAUAAAUGUUUUAUAAUAAAAUAUUGCGAAUCACUUCAUAAAUAGGUAGCUUUUUUUUGGACUCAUUUUUUUUCCCACCUUCCAAACUUAUUAUCUUUCCGCGUUUUGUGCUGGACUUUGGUUUCUUCUUCUUCUUCUUCUUCUUCUUCCAAGAAGGUUACCACUUCUCCACUUCAAGGACAUUGUCCACUUCAGGUUUUGGCACUUGACAACAUGAAGGUUUCUGGCUUCUUUGCUUUGCUCUUGGUGGUUGGAGCAACUGUGAUGUUCUUUAACAUCUUAGUUCCUACUAGUGCAUCUUGGGCAUCUGGUAUAUAUAUACGUCUUCUUUUCUUUGCUACUACUUGUUGCAACUCUUUAUUUCAUUUGACAAAAUUAGUUAGAUCUCUCAUGCAAAUCUUCAACUUUUUUGUCAUUAUCACCAUGUAAGACAAGCUCAUCGGUUAAAAGACACAUGGGGUGUUUUGAAUUUUGUCUUUGAUCUUGCUAUGUUUCUUCCCUUUCUUCAAUCUUUUUCCUUUUUACUUUGGAUAUGUAUAAAGAGAUAAGGGUAUGCAUGCAUUAGUGAUGACAGCUUCCAAUCCACAAACUCUUGAAAAAAUCUCACUCUUUUUUCUUCAGUAGACAAACUGUUUUUGUUAUUAUUCUGUUGAUUGUUUUCUGACUAUACCAACAUGAGCCACUAAGUUGAGACUUGCGACAACUUGGUAGUGUUGGCCCAAGCAUCGAGUCCUUGAAUUGUACGAGUAAUUCAUGAUUUGACAUAUAUAAUUGAUCAUGAGAAAAAGGUAACAUGCUUUUAAGUUCUAAACAUGCAAUAUAAUCUUUUGAGAUGCAAACAUAACUUGACGCAGUUGACAUUUUUAUAUAAGCUAAAAUGCAUUCAUGGGUAGAAUAUGUGUCGCAUAGAGCAGUUUCUCUGUAAGCAUUAAAACUAUGAAAAAAAAGUACUUCUUCACUAGUUAGUAAGAGACACUGAUGAUUAAGUUCCUCUUAACUUCAUCUGCAUUUGAUAAUGUGUGUGGCAGUAUAAUUCAAUUCAAUCAAAACACUGCAUGCAUCAAUUAACGUUCUUCUAGAGAUCAUCUUCUGUAGGGAGAUGAAGGAGAUUAUCUUGGAUAUUAUAUUGCUGAUAACUUAAUGCCUUUAUGUAACCUGACAUUUUUUAGUAUCAUCUCAGAUUUGUUCAAGACCAACUUUGGAGAUAAAGCCACACUCACUGCAGGAAGCAGGAAACUGAAGGUAUGAAUGCUUUAUAGCCCUUGGACUUAAGCUCUGGCCCUUGACCUUUCUGGUUAAAGAAGUCAAAACCUAAUUAUAAUGGGAUGUUACAUGGUAAAUUUGAUGUUAAUAUUAACUAUAACUUCAAAGUAAUGGUUAAGUAAUGGUUGUAAUAGACUGAUCAUAGGGAGAGCAAAAAAAAACAUUUGGAUGGACAGUGUCAAGGAAAGUGUUAAUUAGAUUUGAGAAUGCAUUGGAUAACAAUUGUAAGAGAGUUGUGGUUACGUAAGAACAAAAGGAUUUUCAAAGUUGGUAGGAUAUAUCACAUUGAAAUUUUCACUCUGGCAUGUAUGAUAGUUUGGUCAUGAGUAAUGUCUAAAGCGUGUGAUGUAAGUUUUUCGUAUUCAGAUUGGUAACUUGAGCCAUUGCAUGAUAUUAGUCAAUUUGUCUAGAAGUUAGUUAACAUGAGUAAAAGGUGUCUGUAUUUAGGUUUUUAAUUGUUGUAAGAAGGUUAGAUGAUAAGAGUCCUAAGAAUUUAAAAGGUUGAGCCUUAAGUAAUAGAAGAUGAAUAUUACUGUGAUAAUGUAAAACUUUUUACACUAACAAAAUACAUACUUCUCUUUGAAAUUUCAGGAAAAUGGAAACAAUAUUAAAAGGGGCAUUAACAACCAUGGUGAUCUGGGUGAAGUGACUCUGACGGAUUACAAUCCCAUUGAUCCACCUCCAAGUUCUUCAACAAAGGCCUCUUUAUAUCCUGGGCCUAUAGAGCAUGGAAGCCCUCUGAAUCCAUACAUCCCAAAACCUUCACCUCCUGAUCCUCCUAAACCUGGAGAUUCUGACUAACUUUGCAGUCUCUUGAAGCAUGCUAGUAGAUACUAUUCUCAGAAGAGGAACGCUAUUCACACUCUUUUGACAUAUUUCUUCUGAUGGGAACAUAAGAAAUUGUUCAAAGUAAUGUGUUGGUAGCAUUGCUCAUGCUGAAAAUAAAGAUAGAGGACUUGUUCUCACACGUUGUUUAGUCAGUUUUUUGUGCAUUGUUGUGCUUAUAUGCUGUGUUGUGUUCCCAUGUGGUAGCUGUGAAAAAAAGUUGUGCCUUUGAGCAUCCUAUGUAUUGGUCAAUGUACGUAUUUGUAAUGUUUUUCCAUGCGUAUUUCUAUAUUUGUUAGUUUGUGUUUGUGCAACUUCAGUAGUAUGUUCAUUUUUUAUCAUAUAGAUUCGUUGUUAUAAAAUUGCAUACAUGAUGCUUGUAUCCCAUUUGAGAUUUUUGUUACCAAAUUUGGUAAUUGUUAUUCUAAUCGCAAGGAUAAUAAUUUUCUAAUGGAUCCAAAAGGUUUCAAAGUUGUUGAAGAUAACCAGAACCAGAAGUGAAAGCACAGAGGCAUUCCAUUGAAAUCCAAAAUUGAUUAAGAAUAAUACCACACUUGGGCUAAACUUGUUGAGUCACUUAUUGCUUAAGAUAAAAUUAUUAUCUCUUUGAUCACUGGAAUUUUUUCAUCAACCAUUGCCACUAGGAUUCCUACUAUUACAAGUAAAGAGGGGUCCUUCAAUUCACGUCGCAUCAACCUUUUCUUUUUCCCAUUUCACUUUUCUUGACUUCUUAAUAAUACCUAGCAUGUCAUUGUAAUCUUCCAAAGAUGUAACAGCUGUACGUGGGGAUGCAUCAACUCCUUUCAAAUUCGAUAUCACUUCAUAUUAUUACAAAAUAAAUAUUAAAUAAAAGUGAAAGUAAUUAGUUAAUAUAUUAACUAAAUUAGAUAUUUAUUAUUUUAAAAAUUAAAAAAAUUAUUAGUAUUUAAAGUAAUUUUUAUUAUUAAUAAAAUUUAUAAAAUGAUUUAUAAAUUGGUAUCUAAUUAGCAUUCUAAAUUUAAACUACCAAUUAGCUUAGAUUUUAAAGUUGGUAGCUAAUUAAAUAUUGUGUCAUCCUGGAUCUAGUCAGAAUGUAGGAGAGACUCAUGACUAUCGAUACACAUGGAAGAAAUCCGUGUGACAAUGAAACUCGAAUUUAACUCAUCCUCCUCGUGGGAUAGAGACCUAGGAGACCCGACAACUUACUCCCCGAAAGACCCGAGAGUGCUUGAUCCCUGAGAGAGUCCACUCAAAUCUUAGUUAUAUUCGUGAAAUAACAACCCACUAAUACCAAGAUUCUAGCGAAAACUCGUAACUAACUUUCGAAUUAUGGUCAAUUUGUUUGAUUGUUGCGUGAAUUUUCCAAAUUUUAUUCAAGGCCUAAAUCAUCUAAAAUGGGAUCGAAUUUUAUUUUCGACUACUUCAAGAAAAAAGUUAAUGACUCUGCAAUCUAGAAAAAGCCUUUGAACCUAGAAAAAGUCUUUGAGUCUGAGCAAAUACCAAUUUAUAAUCUAAUUUAUAAAUUUUAUUAAUAAUAUAAAUUACUUUAGAUACUAGUAUUUUUUCUAAUCUCUAAUACGUUAUUUAAUUUAAUUAAUAUAAUAACUAAUAUUUUUUUCUCUAAAAUUAAUUUAUUUAUAUGUAAAAAAAUUGUUGUAGUAUAUAUAUAUAUAUAUAUAUAUAUAUAUAUAUAUAUAUAUAUAUAUAUAUAUGGGACGAAGCAAUGUAUGUAUAACUUUUUUUAAACCCCAUUGGGAGGUACCAUGUGCCUUAAGUGAGCAAAUAUUGUUUAGCAUGGUUGAUGAAAAGUUAUGCUUUUAGAAACCCAUAAUUAUUGUUUGAAGUGUUUCUCAAGUGAUGAUCCUUUUGAACUUCUAACUAGAGCGAUUUUGUAGUGUGGGUUUGGUUAAAUUGAAGUCAUCAUCAUAAAAUUAGUAUCACACGCUUUUUAGUGGACCUCUUAACCAACAAUGUCCGCAUAUAUGACUUUUUCUUGGCAACGUGAUUUGAUGCUCUCCGUUUCUUACAAUGUUCUCAACCAAUCUUUUGGUCAAAUUAGACCACCUUCUCUCUUGUAAUGCUUUCAACUUGAAGAAUAAAGUUAUAAUGAGUGAUGCUUGAAUAAUCAAAUUUACCUAAGUCUGCCAGAUUUUUUAGAAAAUAUGUAUAUCAUUUUAUUACGAAAUGGACUUUAAGUUUAACUCAAACUCUUAAAACUGGUUCAUGUGGUGAGGUUUGCACCCAUUUAUAAACUAUGAAAGGCUCUAAUAUCUAGUCGAUGUGGGAUCUCCAACACAUACCCCUCAUGUCGAGAGUGACAGCUCGUACGUGGGAUAACAUAUUAUGGGUGGUCCGAUAGCGGUCCGACAACAGGUGGCACAAUAGACCCAACACAAACACUCGCUAGAAUAGGCUCGAAAUGGUUCUGAUAAAUAAUUAUCUCUAACUCAAAAUCUUCAAAUCCUAGUUCUUAAAACUUUUUUUACAUUUUAAGAUUUUAUUUAAAAAUGAACUUUUUAAUCCAACCUCAUAAAGCUAAUUUAUAAAAUAGAUUUACAUUUAUUUAUAUACUAUAAAAUAUUUUAAUUUCUAAUAAUCGAAUUUUCAACGACACACAUAAAUAUAUAUUAAAUUUAGAUUUUUAUAGACUCGGUACAAAAAUUAUAAUCUGACAAGUAUUCUAUUUCUUUGUGCAAAUUUUAAGAAAUUAGUCAAUAGGUUGAUUACAACAUAGUUCUCAAUCACGGCUACAUCAGUUGGUCUUAUCCCUUUGGUCCUACCAUGAGACAUUCUCUAGUCACUAGGUAAUGUAUAAAUGAAUUUAUGAUUGUAUCAACAAAAUUAAAUGCAAGAAAUUAUUACCAAUUUUGAAUUUUUGAAUUUGUCAUUGUGUUCUUCCUUCAAAUUUUGGUUUUUCACCAAAGUAUUUUUUUUUCCUGUGGAUUACAAUUUUAGAUAAAAUUUAACUUAUUAAAUUUUGUUUAAAAAAUAUUAAAAACAUGUGUUUCUAUAAUUGAUUUUUUGGAAAUUUGUUUUUAGAAAAAAAAAAUCUUAUAUUUUUUAUUAGAAGGUAACAAUACAAUGAAACACGUCAGAAGGAAGUUUUAAAAAGGGGAGAAAAAAUUACAUAGUAUGAAAUUGAUAUUAAUAAAGAGUAUGGAUGAUUAAAAGUUAGCACGAUAAUUGGCAUCACAUCACAUGGAAGUUCAAAAAACAAAAGAAAAAACAAGUUUUAAAAAAAAUUAGGAAAUGAAAAAGUGCAACAUGGAUACGUAGCAGUAGUAUUUUAGUGUGUGUAGUUUGUUUGGAAAGAAACUUGUGAAUGGAUUUGGUUAAGGACCUACCAAAGUUGAAGAGGACAAUCACUACUAAAGCAAAGGGAAAGAUAUAAAGAGAAGAGAAUGAACACAGACAGUUCUGGCAGGAGCAUCCUGAAAAGUGAUGCUUUUUUGCUUAGCUUGCAAAAUCAUGUCAAAGAGAAUUGUCCCUUCUUUUUGUUCUUAAAAGGGUUCUUAGUUAUCUAAUUACUAGAGCAAUUAAAGUUGAACAAUGAUCACACCAUCUCAUUUGCAAUGAAAACAAUUAGCAUUUCGUGAUUCUUUAUCCUUUCUUGAGCCGCAUUGUGCACUUUGUUUCCUUGCCCAUGUUUUCUCUCACUCUAUGGACAACAUCAUUGUUCCUCACUAAAUAUUCUAGAGAGGUAUCAUCAUCUCUCAUUAAUACUCUUCUUGUCCUUGUGAUGGACCUAUGUGAGGGUGUCUUGUGGCUAAUUAAGUUUUCCAAAUAUAUUAUUAUAAUCUUAUUAAAGAAAAUAAAAAAAAGAUUGAAUAAAAGAUUUUGAUUAUAGAAGGUUUAUGUAUAUACAAAGAACUCUUACACAAUAUUAUUUCUACAAAGAUCAUAGGAACUAUAUUCUAUGUAUAGAUCUAUGGAGGAUGAGUAAUAGAAGACCAUUAAAAAAAAAAAUAGUUAUAAGAUAGUUAUAACAAACACGUAUUAGACAAUUUGACCCGUAUACCAGAUAGUCUAACACUACUAGAAGAAUUUUAGUAGAUGGUCUUUUUAUCUUUUAUAUCAGAUAGUUUAACCAUUUGAUUAAACUCUUGUACGUAAUUUAGAGUUAUUCAUCACACCUUUUAUUAUAAUUACUUCUAGUAUAAGAUAACGAGUUUAAACUAGAAUCAUUCCAUAAAUAGUUAAAUUCAAUUUUAUUUAGGGUUAAUGAGUUUUGUGAAGCAAGGUGAAAUAAAGUAUGUUUUUCAUCCCUGAUUGACAUUGUAAUAUAGGAUCUCAUUAUAUGCGACAUUUGUCAAGGUUAGUUAUUGUUUAUAUAUAUAUAUAUAUAUAUAUAUAUAUAUAUAUAUAUAUUGUAUAUAUAUAUAUAUAUAUAUAUAUAUAUUUGAAUCUCAACUAAAAAAGAUGUUAACAUCGUCUUAUUCUUGAUUUAGGAAUGAUCGAGACCGACUCAUGCUCAAUUAAUGACUAUCCAUAUCUUAGUGACUUUUGAAGAUUGCAUUGUGCUACUGAGCAUAUUAACCUUUUACCUUUUGUAAUCGACCUAUGAAUAAGAUUCGCUCUCUCAGAAGAGAUGAAUUACAAAAUGAAUUAGUAAUGUGCAAGAGAUUAUACUGAUUUAGAUUUAAAUUUAGGUAAUUUAAACCAGACUGUUAUUUUUAAAUUGAGGUUCAAAGGAGAUUACUUGUAAAGUUCUCAACUUAGUAUCAGUUGUAUUAAAUUCACAAUGCUUAUUUAUUUAUAGUCACAUUGUAAUGAAGUGUAUUCUUGGAGGGGCAUAUACAAGGGCAUUUCACUGGCAUAUAUCACAUUUCUUUCUAUUUUGGGCAUCACCUCCUAUUUGUUUUGUCACCAAGCAUAACUACACAUAAUGACUAUAAGUUCAACCUUUCACAAAGAAGAAAAUAGACAUGGUAAAUUUGAAGGAAGACAACUAGAUUAGAAGAUUUUAGCAGUUGCUUCAAAGAACAAAGUCCACCCCUAGUGCAAACAAAUGUUUUUUUUUGUGUUUUAUUUGUUUUUGGUUUGGAUUUUCUGCUAUGAUUCAAUGUUUUUGGUAAACUUGGAGAAUUGGAUAAUCCGAUAAACUUAUGAAGAAAAUUUGUUUCAGAUUAUAUGUUUUUACGUUUUUAAGUAUUCAGAAGCUUGUUCUCUUACUUUUUGUUGGUUGUCAAUCCUAAACCAACAUCAUUAUAUUCAAGUCUGAUUUUAUAUAUGGAAUAUUGCUCUAAAUAUUUUCUUUUAUUUAAUUAUUCUUUAUCAAUAAAAUAAGUGUAUUCUUGGGAUCUUAUCUUUGGGUGUUGAUUUUAAUUUUGCUCCAACUAUUUAUAAGAGUAAUGUUUGGAACUUAAACCAACUAGUAAUUAAGGUUACUCUGUAGUAUUUAGUUUGGUAUUAGACAGAACUAUUACAAUUUUAUCAAUACUAAAAACUAAAAACCACCAUCUUGAUGAAUUAAAAGACAAUAAAAACGUUUAUAAAAAUUACUGAUCAUUCCUUUACUUCUAAAUGACUUCUGGAUCAGAAUCCAUCCAUCCAUAUACGCACUGGAAUCAACCAGAAUGGGCAAAUUGCUUACAGAAAAAAAAGGUGACAUAGACGAAUUUUAGUGGAUGCUAAAACUGAUCUUUAAUAUUUUCUGAUCGUUAGAAGGGAAAGAAAGAAGCCAUAAUGAAAUAGAGUGGUGAAGAAGGAAGUAGCUUUUAGUGGUCCUAUACGCGUUAAAAGUGAAUGCAUGCAUGUGUUCUGUCCAAGUGUCCAUACACCAUUUUUAUUAAAUUUGGUUUUCGAAUGCAGCAUAUUUGUGAAGUGGAUAGUGCUUCCACAUUCUCAGAUCCAAUAUCCAAAUAUAUGCAUAUAUGAUCCUUCAAUUUACCUGCUGUAAAGCAUUAACUCAUGACUCCAAAAGUUUUCUAAGGAUAUUUCAUAUCUAAUAGAAAUAAAGAUAUUUUAUAAUAUAUAAGUAGAUAUAAAUCUUACUUUAUAAGUUAGUUUUAUAAAGUUAAAUUAGAUUUAAAGUUCACUUCUUAAUAUGAGUUUGUUCCGGACAAUAGUCACUACAAGAAAAUCAUGAAAUAUAAACCAAUUUUUAGAGACCAAAAUAAUUAGUUGCAAUAGUAACUAAAUCAGAGACCAUUUUAGAAAGUAAAAAGAAAUUUGGUUUCUAAAUUAGUUUAUAUUAUUGUUAAAUAGUUUCUAAAUUGGUAUCUAAUUAGCAACCAAGGUUUUAGAGACUAAAUUUAGAAACUAAAUAAUUGGUAUCUAAAACCAUAGUUGCUAAUUAGAUACCAAUUUACAAUAAUAGAAACUAAUUUAGAAACCAAUUUUUUUGUUAGUUUCUAAAAUGGUCUUUAUUUUAGUUCCUAUUGUAACUAAUUAUUUUGGUCUCUAAAAAUUAGUUUCUAUUUCAUGAUUUUCUUGUAGUGAGUCUUGGCGAUCUCAAACCUAGAACAUUCAAAGUGACAAAGAAUAUGUACACUCUUAGUUAGUUUGUAAUCUGUCUUUUUUCUUUCUUUCUUUUUUGUGUGUUCUCUUAUACUAAAAUUUUCACCUUAUCUCCUUUGUAUCUAACCUUGUUAUUGGCCUAAUUCAAUAAUAAAUGUUACCUCUUAUUUAAGUUUGAUUAUUUGGAAUCUCCUGAUUUGUGCUGAUACGACAUUACUGUCUUUAAAUAUGAAUAUCGAUAGACGAUGUCUUUAUAUGAAAUAUCGGAUUCGAUUCAUAACGCUACAACCCCCCUAACCUCAAGCAUAAACUAAUGAAGCUAAAGUUAAGUUUAACUUGACGAUCUCCAACCGACCCACCUAUCUCUCAAUCGGACUUGACCAAUGAUACUAUAGAGUUCAAAGUCGUCUAAAAUCUAUCUUAACGACAAUUUGUUGACCUUAUCAAAUCAUCCGUUAUCAGAACAUCCAUAAUUUGGAAUCUCACGCAUGAAUUCAAGGUAUUAAUAAUUGGAGAGCUAUCAUAUUUCAUAAAUGCAAAUUAAAUAUCGCUAUGUUGGUCACACCUUUGGGGGAAAGUAAAGUUUAUAGUUAAAACAAUCACAGAUGACAGAACCUUUUAAGAGCUAUAACUGCUACCCUGGUAUUAAUUACAAAUUUUGCAGGAAGAAAACACAAGCAGGUAAAACUGUUCAUUUUUCACUUGGCAGUUAGAAGUAUAUUCCCCAGAUAACUUAAUUAGUUGCUGUAAGGGAUAUAUGAAAAAUUUAAGCAACAUUACAAUUCAGAAUCUAACGACUUGGAACUUUUUGUGAUAUCAUGUAUUUUGUAAAUUUAUCUCACUUGAGUUUUUCAUUCUGCAUGAGAUUGUGAAUUUGUGAGGAGCACAAGUUGAUUGAAAUGCAAAUCCAGACAAUUUUCCAGUUAAGAUUAUUGUCCUUAAUCUUUCUUUGAGAAUUAUGACAUUGAAUUAUUAAAAACUCUUAGUUCGUACUAUCUAUGCAAGUGUUCAACACUAGCCAAACCAAGUUGAGUAACUAACAAUGAUUAAUUGCAAUUAAAUCAGACCAGAUUGUAAAAGUGAUUACCAUAGCCAUAAUGUUGUAAUAUAGCAAUCGUAGGAAAGCAUAAUGAUGUUAGAUCUUGUAUUCAAUUUGCACACAUCUAAUGCUUAUAGGCAGUUAAAUAUUUUUUAUUUUAAUACUAUAAUGAUUAUGAAAAACUUGUUCUCUUUGAUUUUAGGGUAAUGUGCAUGAAAAAAAAUUAGUUAAAAUUAUUAAAAUGAAUUUGUUAAAAUUAUUAAGAAGUGUAUUUUAAAUUUAAAAAGUAAAUUAAUCUCAUUAAAUAUGAAGUUUGUAUUAAUUUAUAUAUUAUGAAUUUUUUAUCUCACGUAAUAUCUUUAACAAAAAUCAAAUAAAUAUACGUAAAAUAUUUUUAUUAUUUAAGUAUAAAUAAUUAUACUUGAUAUUUGGACUAUUUAUGUUAUCUCUAUGUAGAUGUGGAUCCAAUAAUACCCAUUUUUGUUAUAAUUAUUCGAAAAAUCAUAUUUGAGAUUAUUUUUCUUAAUUAAAAAUUUAUAUAAAGUCAUUAUAUGAAAAUUAAGCUUUAAAAAAAGUAUACACAAUAUUUUGCCGUUUAUUUGUUUGCAUUCAUUCAGUAUAAAAUCAUUUGCUAAAGUUCAGCAGUUAAUUACAGUUCAUUUUGUAGUUCCCUUAAGUGGACACAUACACACAUCUCCUAUUUUUGUUUCAUUACUAAAAUGAGAAAAGGAAAAGUUAAGAAGAAGAUACUUGCCCCUUUCUAAUUAAUGACUCUGAAAAAUGAGUACAACAACACUUGCAAUCCAUGCAUACAUAAAAAAUUUAUAUUUUUAUUAUUAUAUAAAAUAACAAAUGAAAAUCACUCAAAAUAUCAAUUUUAGAAUAAUUACUAAAAAAUAAAUAAUAUGAUAAUAUAAGAUAUGUAAGGUUUCGUUUAAGAAAAUAUUGAAAAUAGAAUAUCAAUUAAUUAAAAACUAAUUUGUUCACAUUUGCUAUAGUCUAAUUUUCAAAAUAAAACCUUCAUUUUAACAAGAAAAAAAGUGUUACAAUAGUUUAUUUAGGGUCUUAUGUUGUAUAAAGGGUAAAAGUUUAUAAAGGUUGAAAAACUGAAAAGUGAAAGCGCGGGUGGCACUGCGUGCUCCAAAACUGAAUUAAUUAUGUAGAAAGUUAUCGAUAAGAGACUACCAAUUCCUCCGAACUUUUGUACCUUGUUCCAAUUCGAUACGCUGAAAAGGAAAAACGGCUAUUUCAUAAUUUUUCGCCUUAACGACCAAUUAUAUAAAAUUGAGUAGUGUCGUUUGCGUAACGUCUCUCCGAAGAUUCAUUCCCUCACCCAAACGCAAAUAUCCAAUUCCAACUUCAACCCUUCUUUGUACUUUCCACAUCGUACUCUUCCUUUCUCUCCGUGUCGUUUUCACGUUUACUAUUUUUAUUUCUUUUUUUAUUUUUUUAUUUGUUUUUAUCAAAAUUAAAAAUGACGUGUCAUCAAAGCUUCCAGCCCCACGAAGCACCGCAAACUGACGUAAACCAUUGUGUAUUUACGGCAAUGCCCUUCAAGUCACGGCGAGUGCUUUUACUCUCCCUCGAUCCGCGCGUGCGUGUGCUACAGUGUCCGUGUCACUCUAGUGGUGCCUGAGCUUGCUCCUUCUAAUUUUGGCGUUAAUUUUCACAAGCGAAGCACAAUCGCGCAGCGUGUGACUCCACUGCUACGACAGUUACACUCUUUACUCGGUCAAGCCCCGGCAAAUCGUAACGGUCAUAUUUUCCUUCCCAUUUUCAACCUUCCGCGUGAAUUAGCAGCACCAAAUUUCUCUGCACACGCACGCAUUCUUUUCUCUGUUCGAAUUCCGUUCAAUGCUUCGUGUAGCUUGUUCGUUUCUCGGUUGAUUUCUAGGGUUCUGAGACUCGGCGUGGAUUCCAACGAUUAGUCUCGAGUUUCGAAUUGAAUAUUGUUGAUUGACUGACUGUAGUAAUGAAAAUAUUGUAGAAUUUUGGAAGAUUUUGUAAUGGAAAUAUUGUAAUUAGGAUUAGUAGAAUUUUGGAAUAAAAAUAAUGGUGGCUGCGAUUUCUACGCCGUUAAACCCCAAACGAGCGCAGACUCCAACUCCAAGGAGAACUCCUCUGUUGCCUUCUGAAUCGGACAAUGCACUCGCUCCUCCACGAAGGCCUAAAGCACGAGAAGUUACUUCUCGCUACAUGUCGUCUUCUUCGUCUUCGUCGUCCUCCGUUUCGUCUCCUCCACGACGAUGCCAUUCGCCGCUGGUGGUGACAAGGACGGUCAAUUCUACAAAGCAAACACCAACGCCGGCGUUGAAGCGCUGUCAGUCGGCGGAGCGCCGGCGACAAGGCACUCCUCGGCCUACUCUCACGGACGCUCCGGCGGCUCAGAAAGUGCUCUUCACUUCCACCAGGAGCUUGUCUGUUUCGUUCCAGGGCGAGUCGUUCCCGAUCCAGGUUAGGACGACGAAACCGCCGCCUUCACAGAGUUUGCGGAAGAGCACGCCGGAGAGGAGGAAGGUUUCAACGACGCCGACGCCGGUGAGAAACGGCAAUUCGGAUCAUGCAGAGAAUGCCAGGUCGGGGCUAGAUCGGCACCGGUGGCCUGCAAAAUCACUACCGCGGCCACAACAAGUCAAUUGCGCGAACCGCAGCUUGGAAUGUGUUGAUUCCGCAGGGAGAAAGCAAACGGACGCGCCGGAGAACCUUGUUAGGUCGUUGCAGAAUCUGAUGGAAGAUGUUCUACCUUAUCACGACGCGAUGUUGAAAUCGGAGAGUAACAAAAUUAACGGAUCUGAGUUUCGGCCUGAACCUGAGCUUGAGCCUGUUGCUUCUGAUACCGAAAGUGUAACCUCUGGAAGUUCCUCUGGAGAUGGAAUUCGACGUUCACGAGGGAUCGUGGUGCCGCCGAGGUUCUGGCAAGAGCAUAAUAACCGUUUAAGGCGCCAAACAGAGACUCCGUCUUCUAGAAACGGCGUAAUUGCGAAUAAAGGAACUCUAUCUACUGCUCAUAGUCCUAGGCUUUUAGUGCAGAAGAAAUCAGUGUUGGAUUCUGCUGUUUCAUCGCCACGUGGAGUUGUGAAUAGCCGUGUUCUUCAAGGUUCUCCUAUUCGAUCCGCGGUUCGUCCUGCUUCUCCGAGUAAACUAGCGACGCCUUCUGUGUGGUCUCCUUCGAGAGGAGUGAGUCCGUCACGUGCACAUAACGGCGUCGCUGGUUGCAUGAGCAGUAGGUUCGGAAGUGAACCUUCUGUUCUGAGUUUCGCGGUUGAUGUUUCCAGGGGCAAGGUAGGGGAGAAUCGGAUUGCGGAUGCGCAUUUAUUGAGACUCUUUCAUAACAGGCUCCUCCAGUGGCGUUUUGUUAACGCCAGAGCCGAUGCUGCUCUCUCUGCGCAGACAUUCAAUGCAGAGGUAUUUUUUUUUUUUAUUUCAGAGGUUUUCUCUACUGAAAUUGAAUUGCGCGGGUUUGGAUUUGCCUGCUUGUUCAUUACUCUUUGAAGCUGUAUUGAGUGAAGAUUGUGGAUUGAUAAUUUCGUUUUAAUUUUUUAUGUUAGUUCCAUCUUAGCAUAUGAUCAUGAGCACCCAUGUCAUCAAGGAUUUAAACUGCCUGUUGUGGUUUGUUACAUCCUUGAUGUUGAGGGAAAUUCCAGAUAAAUGUUGCCACGGUUACAGAUGCAGACUGUGGCCAUUGACUGUCUUUUAAACUCGUUUGUAAUCUAAAGGGUGAAGUCAUAUAAG